UGGUUGCACGCAGGAGAUCGAGCUGCGGGCGUACGGCCGGAUCGGAGGAGGACAUAUCAGCCGGGUUCCUGUUGGUUGUGUACUUGUGUUCCUGCCGGCGGAGAAGCAACCAUGGCCGAGUUACUGAUCGGGCCACUGAUCUCCAUGGUGAAGGAGAAGGCAUCCAGCUACCUGCUGGACCAAUACAAGGUGAUGGAAGGCAUGGAGGAGCAGCGCAAGACCCUGGAGCGCAAGCUGCCAGCAAUCCUGCACAUCAUCCAGGAUGCGGAGGAGAAAGGAGCCUCCCGACCUGAAGUUGCAGUUUGGCUUAAAGACCUCAAGACAGCGGCCUAUGAGGCCAACGACGUCUUUGAUGAGUUCAAGUACGAGGCGCUUCGGCGAGAAGCCAAGAAGAAGGGCCACCACAGCAAGCUUGGAAAUGAGGUAGCAAGACUCCUAGUCCCCGCUCGUAAUCCCAUUGUAUUCCGUUACAGGAUGGGCAAGAAGCUACGCAGGAUUGUGCAGACCAUCGAGGCCUUGGUCACCGAGAUGAAUACAUUUGGUUUCAGGCACUUGCAGCAAGCACAGCCAUCAAGGCAGUGGCGACAGACAGAUUCCAUAAUCAUUGACUCCGACAGAGAUAUUCUUAGCAGAUCUAGAGAUCGGGAGAAGAAGAAAAUCGUGGGGAUGCUCCUUGAUCAAGCUAGCAACAGGGAUCUCAUGGUUCUUCCAAUUGUUGGGAUGGGUGGGAUGGGCAAGACCACCUUUGUGUUGGAGUUGUUCUAAAUUCACUCCAGGAAUAAAGGCCGACCUUCCCGACCCUUGACACUCAGGGUCGGGCGAGGCGGAGAAUCUCCCGACCCCGGGACUCGGGGUCGGGCGAGGCGGAGCGUCUCCCGACCCAGGCUUGAGGUCGGGCGAGUCGGAGAUCGACCCUCAAGGGGUCAGGCGCAUCCGACCCCAGGCUUGAGGUCGGGCGAGGCGGAGUCCCAGGCGCAUCCGACUCCAGGACAAAGGACUCAGGGUCAGACGAGAAGGAGUUCCAUCCUUGUACGGGACCAAGAGUCCGUACAGCUCAAUACCCCCUGUCUGGGGUUUCGGUACUAUAUAUACAUACACCCUUGCUAGGGUUUUGGGUGGUGACAGAAGAGAUAGAAGAGAGAGAGAUUAUCAGAUUCUCUUGUAAGCCGCCAUAGGCGUGUAGCCCUAAACUCUUGAUAUAGUGAGAUUGUUGCCGGCUGGUGCCCGUGGUUUUUCCUCUUCACAUUGAAGGGGUUUUCCACGUAAAUCGUGUGUCUUCUUUUGUGGUUUGAUUCUUUACUUCAUAUUCCAUACGUCGUACCUAACAAGUGGUAUCAGAGCUUUGGUUGCUGUUUGGAUUUCAUGUCGACGUCGAUGAAGUUUGAUCUACCGCUGCUGAACUACGACACGCGGUUCUCUCUAUGGCAAGUCAAGAUGAGAGGAAUUCUAGCGCAAACUCAUGAUUAUGAUGAGGCGCUGGAUAGCUUCGGAAAGAAGACAAAGGCCGAGUGGACUCCAGAAGAGAUCCGCAAGGAUCAGAAAGCACUCGCCCUAAUACAGUUACAUCUUCAUAAUGAUAUUUUGCAGGAGUGUCUGAAAGAAAAAACUGCUGCAGAACUAUGGCUGAAACUGGAAUCGAUCUGUAUGUCCAAGGAUCUAACCAGUAAGAUGCAAAUGAAGAUGAAGCUGUUCACCUUGAAGAUGAAGGAGGAAGAUUUAGUGAUGAACCACAUCACUGAAUUCAAGAAGAUCGUCGCCGAUCUAGUAUCAAUGGAGGUGAAGUAUGAUGAUGAGGACUUAGGUCUUUUACUGUUAUGUUCUUUGCCAACUUCAUAUGCAAAUUUUCGUGACACCAUACUCUUGAGCCGUGAUGAACUAACCUUAAAGGAAGUUUAUGAGGCUCUCCAAUCAAGGGAGAAGAUGAAAGGUAUGGUGCAGACUGACAGAACGUCGUCCUCCAGAGGCGAUGCUUUGCUUGUGAGAGGCAGAACUGAUAACAGAUCCUCCAAUGAUGAUGGAAGAAAAAACUAUGAAAGGAGAGGCCGUUCAAAGUCCAAGCCGCAUGGUAACAAAAAAUUCUGUGUCUAUUGCAAGCUAACAAAUCACAAUGUUGAGGAUUGCAGAAAAGUACAGAAUAAGGAGAAGAAGAAAAACAAGUCGGCUGGUAAGGUCUCUGUUGCUGCUGCCGUGUCUGAUGAAGAAUCUGGAGAUGGUCUGGUGGUAUUUGCCGGUUGUGUUGCUGGUCAUGAUGAGUGGAUCCUUGAUUCUGCAUGUUCAUUUCAUAUUUGCAUUAACAGAAAUUGGUUUAGCUCUUAUAAGUCUAUGCCGAAAGGAGAUGUUGUGCGGAUGGGAGAUAAUACCCCGUGUGAUAUUAUGGGAAUUGGAUCAGUUCAGAUCAAGACUCAUGAUGGCAUGACACGCACUCUGAAAAACGUCAGGUACAUACCAGGGAUGUCCAGAAAUCUUAUUUCAUUGAGCACGCUUGAUGCAAAAGGUUACAAAUAUUCCGGUUCGGAUGGUGUUCUGAAGGUAUCAAGAGGUAAUCUUGUCUGCUUGAAAGGUGAUCUCAAUUCUGCAAACUUAUAUGUCCUUAGAGGGUGUACUUUACCUGGUUCUGAUUCCGCUGUUGCUGCUGUUACUAAUGAGGAACCUAGUAAAACUAACCUUUGGCAUAUGCGUCUGGGACAUAUGAGUCACCAUGGUAUGGCAGAAUUGAUGAGGAGAAACCUACUGGAUGGCUGCACUUCGAGUAAAAUGAAGUUAUGUGAGCACUGUAUUUUCGGGAAGCAUAAAAGGGUACAUUUCAACACUUCUGUUCACACCACUAAAGGUACUCUUGAUUAUAUUCAUGCUGAUUUAUGGGGUCCUUCCCGUAAGUCCUCGCUUGGUGGUGCUCGUUACAUGCUCACAAUUAUUGACGAUUACUCUAGAAGGGUGUGGCCUUAUUUUCUGAAACAGAAAGAUGAUACCUUUGCUGCUUUUAAGGACUGGAAGGUCAUGAUUGAAAGGCAAACUGAAAGGAAGGUGAAAUUGCUUCGUACUGAUAAUGGUGGAGAAUUUUGUUCGCGUGAAUUUAAUGAUUAUUGCAGAUCAGAAGGUAUUGUAAGGCAUCACACCAUACCCUAUACUCCACAACAGAAUGGUGUGGCCGAACGCAUGAACAGAUCCAUCAUAUCCAAGGCCCGUUGCAUGCUGUCUAAUGCCAGGAUGAGCAAGCGUUUUUGGGCUGAAGCUGCUAAUACUGCCUGUUACUUGAUAAACAGGUCACCUUCUAUUCCACUAAAUAAAAGAACUCCCAUUGAGGUAUGGUCUGGAACGCCUGCUGAUUACUCACAGUUGAAAGUUUUUGGAUGCACUGCAUAUGCUCAUGUUGAUAAUGGAAAAUUAGAGCCUAGAGCUGUUAAAUGUCUUUUCCUUGGUUAUGGUUCGGGUGUCAAAGGCUAUAAAUUGUGGAACCCGGAAACAGAAAAGACCUUCAUGAGCAGAAGUGUUAUUUUCAAUGAAUCUGUGAUGUUUACUGACAGCUUACCCUCAGAUCAAGUUCCAGACAAAGGACUGCAGCGUAUGCGCAUGCAGGUGGAGAACGCUCGUAAUGAUGUUGAUAACCCCGACCCCUUGGUCUCGGGGUCGGAUGCGCCAGACCCCUUGGCUCCAGGGUCGGCUGAUGCUCAAGCGCCAGACCCCUUGGCUCCGGGGUCGGAUGUUGCUGCGCCAGACCCCUUGGCUCCGGGGACGGAUGUUGCUGAUGCGCCAGACCCCUCAAUCUCGGGGUCGGCUGAUGCUCAUGAUAAUGUCCAGCAAACUCCAGAGGAGGAUCUACCCAUUGCUCAACGCAAGUCCAAAAGGACAGUUGCCCCUCCUAACCGCCUCAUUGAAGAGUGUAAUUUGUCUUACCAUGCUUUGAGUUGUGCUGAACAGGUGGAGAAUGUUCAUGAGCCAGCAACCUAUAAAGAAGCUAUUCAUUGUGGCGAUACUGAAAAUUGGAUUUCGGCCAUGCAUGAGGAGAUGCAAUCUCUUGAGAAGAACAGUACAUGGGAACUUGUACCUUUGCCUAAGAAUAAGAAGGCCAUCCGCUGCAAAUGGAUCUUCAAAAGAAAGGAGGGUUUAUCUCCAAGAGAGCCUCCGAAAUAUAAGGCAAGGUUAGUUGCAAAAGGCUACAGCCAAAUUCCGGGUGUCGACUACAAUGAUGUUUUCUCUCCAGUGGUAAAACACAGUUCAAUUCGCACUUUCCUUAGUGUUGUUGCUUCACAUGAUCUUGAGCUUGAGCAGUUAGAUGUGAAGACUGCGUUUUUGCAUGGAGAGCUCGAGGAGGACAUAUACAUGAACCAACCAGAAGGUUUCAUAGUGCCUGGCAAGGAGAAAUAUGUGUGCAAGUUGAAAAGAUCCUUGUAUGGUUUGAAACAGUCCCCUCGACAGUGGAACAAGAGGUUUGAUUCAUUUAUGUUAUCACACAGUUUUAAAAGAUCUAAGUAUGAUAGCUGUGUUUAUAUCAAGCAUGUUAAUGGAUCACCUAUAUACUUGCUGAUAUACGUUGAUGAUAUGUUGAUUGCUGCCAAGAGUAAGACUGAAAUAAAUAAGUUAAAGAAGCUAUUGAGUAGCGGUUUUGAUAUGAAAGAUCUUGGUAGUGCUAAGAAAAUUCUUGGUAUGGAAAUUAGUAGAGACCGAAAUUCUGGUUUGCUAUUUCUUAGUCAACAGAAUUAUAUCAAGAAAGUUCUUCAGCGUUUCAACAUGCAAGAUGCUAAGGCUGUAAGUACUCCUAUUGCACCUCACUUCAAGUUGUCAGCUGCUCAGUGUCCUAGUACAGAUGCAGAGGUCAAAUACAUGUCAAAGAUUCCUUAUUCUAGUGCUGUUGGGUCCUUGAUGUAUGCCAUGGUUUGCUCUCGCCCAGAUUUGUCAUAUGCUAUGAGUCUUGUUAGUAGAUAUAUGUCUAAUCCCAGCAAAGAACAUUGGAGGGCAGUUCAGUGGAUUUUCAGAUACCUCAAAGGCACAGCAAAUUCCUGUUUAAAGUUUGGAAGAACUGAUGAGGGUCUUAUUGGCUAUGUGGACUCAGAUUAUGCUGCUGAUCUGGACAGGCGAAGAUCACUCACAGGCUAUGUGUUUACUGUUGGCAGUUGUGCUGUGAGUUGGAAGGCUACUUUACAGUCGGUUGUUGCUUUGUCUACUACUGAAGCAGAAUAUAUGGCGAUUUGUGAAGCGUGCAAAGAAUUGAUUUGGCUGAAAGGUUUGUACGCCGAACUUUGUGGAAUUGAAUCUUGCAUAAGUUUGCACUGUGACAGUCAAAGUGCAAUUUACCUCACUAAAGAUCAACUGUUCCAUGAGAGAACUAAGCACAUUGAUAUCAAGUAUCAUUUUGUGCGUGAUGUGAUUGAAGAAGGUAAGCUAAAGGUAUGCAAGAUCAGUACUCAUGAUAAUCCUGCCGAUAUGAUGACAAAGCCUGUUCCUGUUACUAAGUUUGAGCUGUGCUCAGGCUUAGUUGGUUUAAUUGGAUAGUCCAAGAGACUAUUAUUGGCACCAGUGGUUUUUCCUGUCUUUGUUCUGUUCAGAAUGAAGGGUUGAUGAUACAAGAUGAAUUUGUCUCAAGGUGGAGUUUGUUGGAGUUGUUCCAAAUUCACUCCAGGAAUAAAGGCCGACCUUCCCGACCCUUGACACUCAGGGUCGGGCGAGGCGGAGAAUCUCCCGACCCCGGGACUCGGGGUCGGGCGAGGCGGAGCGUCUCCCGACCCCAGGCUUGAGGUCGGGCGAGUCGGAGAUCGACCCUCAAGGGGUCAGGCGCAUCCGACCCCAGGCUUGAGGUCGGGCGAGGCGGAGUCCCAGGCGCAUCCGACUCCAGGACGAAGGACUCAGGGUCAGACGAGAAGGAGUUCCAUCCUUGUACGGGACCAAGAGUCCGUACAGCUCAAUACCCCCUGUCUGGGGUUUCGGUACUAUAUAUACAUACACCCUUGCUAGGGUUUUGGGUGGUGACAGAAGAGAUAGAAGAGAGAGAGAUUAUCAGAUUCUCUUGUAAGCCGCCAUAGGCGUGUAGCCCUAAACUCUUGAUAUAGUGAGAUUGUUGCCGGCUGGUGCCCGUGGUUUUUCCUCUUCACAUUGAAGGGGUUUUCCACGUAAAUCGUGUGUCUUCUUUUGUGGUUUGAUUCUUUACUUCAUAUUCCAUACGUCGUACCUAACACUUUGUGCAACUCAUUUACAAUGACCCUGCAAUCGAGAAGCACUUUGAGUUUCGGAGGUGGUGCUGCGUGUCAGAUGAUUUCGAUGUCAGUACCAUUGCAAGCAACAUCUGCCAGACCAAUGAGAAAUAUCGUGAAAAAUCAUUGCAGGAGCUCCAGAGUACAAUAAGUGGGAAAAGGUACCUCAUUGUGUUAGAUGAUGUCUGGAAUCGGGAUGGUGAUAAGUGGGGAAAACUAAAGGCCUGCCUUAAGCAGGGUGGCAAGGGCAGUGCAGUACUAACAACAACUCGUGAUGCAGAAGUGGCUCGCAUUAUGACCAUGGGUGUAGCUGAAGCCCAUAAUAUCGAGAAUCUGAGUGACGAGCAUUUAAAGGAAAUUGUCCAGAGCAGAGCAUUCAGCUUGCAAAAUCCAAAUAUGGAAGAGCAAGAUGGCAUUCUCAGUGGAUUUGUUCGUCGAUGCGUUGGAUCUCCCUUGGCUGCCAAAGCCUUUGGCUCUAUGUUGAGUAACAGGACUAGUGUAAAUGAAUGGAAGGAUGUAUUAGCUAAAAGUGACAUUUGUAGUGAGAAAACCGGAAUUUUACCGAUCCUCAAGCUCAGUUUUGAUGACCUAUCCUCAGAUAUGAAGCAGUGCUUUGCAUUUUGUGCUUUAUUUCCUAAAGAUUAUGAGAUUGAUGUGGACCUCUUGAUUCGACUGUGGAUGGCACAUGACUUCAUACCUGUGCAGGAGGAUGACAAUCUAGAAACCGUAGGAAAAUAUAUUUUUGAGGAGCUAACUCGGAGGUCAUUCUUUCAAGAGGUCAGGCAAACACUUCAAUUUGGCUAUUUUGGAAGGUCGUCACUUCGUAAGUCAACCAUAUGCAAGAUACAUGAUCUCAUGCAUGACAUUGCUCUAUCUGUUCUGGGGAAAGAAUGUGUCACUAUAGUUGGUAAGCCGAGCAUCAACAAGGUGUUGCUAAAUCCGACCCGCCACGUCUUCUUAUCAACAAGGUGUUCUCAUUUCUGGAAAGAACAGGUUACAAGUCUACUAGAUCAUCUAUUGAAGAAACAAACUGCAAUGCUCCAUACGUUGUUUAUCAAAGGUUAUGGUCAACCCCUUGAUAUAUCAAAGUACACUUCACUGCGAGCAUUACACCUUCCAGCAUAUAUAUAUAUACCAUGUUCAGGACAGGAACAGCUUACAAGACACAUACAACACCUAAGGUAUCUUAAUCUGUCGUCACAUGAGUUCGAGAAACUUCCUGAAGGUAUAAGCAUUAUGUAUAAUCUACAAACGUUGGACCUCUCAUAUUGCAAAUGCCUUCGUCAACUUCCAAAGGAUAUGAAGUAUAUGGCAAACCUCCGACACCUCUAUACCCAUGGAUGCGAAUCAUUGACAUGCAUGCCUCCAGGACUUGGACAGAUCACUUCUCUGCAGAAUCUAACAUGUUUUGUUAUUGGUGAUGGCUUGGGAUGUAGUACUAUAGGAGAACUUCAAAACUUAAACCUUGGUGGAGAGUUAGAGUUAAGUGGUCUGCAAAAUGUAACAGAAGUGCUUGCAAAAGCUGCCAGUCUUGAAAAUAAAGAGAAACUCACACACUUAUGUCUCAAAUGGAAUGAUGAUGCCCGUGAGAAACCAGAUUCUCAUAAUGAGGUGUUAGAUGCCCUUAAACCUCAUCAUCGGCUGGAGAUGCUAGGCAUAAAGUCCUACAAAGGCACCAAUUUACCGUCAUGGAUAACAGAUCUUAGUCUGUUGCAGCACUUGACUGAGCUCCAACUGGUUGGUUGCACGCUGUGCGAGGAAUUUCCUCAAUUCUGCCAUUUCAAAACCCUUGAAGUUCUGUAUUUGAAAAAGUUGGACAAAUUGUAAAGCCUAUGCAGUCAUAUGGUGUCUACGCCAUUUCCAGCACUGAAGCAACUCCGGUUACAUGAUUUGGAGAGCUUGGAGAGAUGGGUCGCAACAGAAGGAAAAGAAGAUGAAUUAACCUUUCCUGUACUUGAGGAGGUUGAUAUAAAAAACUGUCCAAAGUUGACUAGCCUACCUGAAGCACCAAAGCUCAGGGUUGUAAGUCUGGAUGAAGGCAAGCCGCUGCUCUCCUUAGGAAUAGUUAAAUCAAGGCACAUGUCUUCAAUUUCUAAGCUAAUCCUGUGUGUCCGUGACACAGAAGCACUGCCUCAGAUAGAUUAUAAUUGGGAUUCAUCACAGAAACUGGAACUAUCCUUGGGUGGCACAGAAGCCGCACCUCUGUCACAUCUGAACAUAUCUGGCUGCAACUUUUUCUUCGUAUCAAGCCAGUCACAGCUAACACCUGGGGUCUGGAAAUGGUUUGAACAUCUUGCAGUUUUAGCAAUCAAAAACUGUGAUGUGCUCAUCUACUGGCCAGAAGAAGUGUUCCAAAGCUUGGUAUCUUUGAAGGAGUUGUGGAUUGAGUCCUGCAACAAGCUAAUAGGGCCCACACAAGCGAAAGGUGGCGAACCUACACAAACGACAGAUCAACUCCUGCCACAUCUAAACAGGAUAUGUAUACGCAGUUGUGAAAGCAUGGCACAGCUCUUCAUUCUUCCCCCAUCUAUCAGAAUUAUUGAUAUUAUGGAUUGCCCUAAGCUUGAGUUCAUAUGGGGAAAGGAGGAGCAUCUUGACACAUAUACAUCGUUGGAACAUUGCCGCGACCCUGCAUCCACUACUGGUACCCUAGAGCAAUCGCCGUUUCCAAUUAUUCGUCGUCCAUGCCUUGUACGUUUAUCAAUAAGAUUGUGUGAUAGCCUGGUAACACUUCCAAAUCUACCACCGUCCCUCAAGGAUUUAAGCAUCUACAGCUGUGAGAAGCUCUGCUCUGUGUCAGGAGACCUGUGUGCACUCGAGGAGCUACAUAUUUAUAACUGCAAUAAGUUACAGUCAGUCAAUUCCUUGGGAGACCACCCAUCAUUAGAAACACUGAUUCUUUAUGACUGCCGAUGCCUUGCAUCUUUAGGAUGUGAUGGUGGUCGUGGAAGUUACUCUGCUCUUCAGAGCCAUAAGAUCGAAGAGUGCCCAGCCAUAGACAUGAAGCAGUUUUACUAACGCCAUCAAACAGCUGCUUGACAGCUUUGAAUAUGAAGACGUAUCACACGUUCAUUCAAGCAGCUCUGAUGAAGGUACGACCUUUCACUUUCCUCUUAUUCAAUUUGUUUCCUUCAAAUUUCCCUGCUUUGCAUGCCCUCCUAUUUCACUCAUGUAACCCCACAUGCAUUUCAUUUUUGCUGUGCAGACAUGACCCAUUUGUCCUUAAAAAGCAUAAAGGAGGGCACUCACAUGUACACACGACUGCCAUCUGGAAGCUUCAUUAUUGCGAGCCUCUGCUAACGAUGACAGGCCUGCAAUGGACGACAAAAACGACAAAGUUUGUUUUCACGGCACUACCAGCUAGCUGCUGGUAAUGCUCUUGUCACUAAUGUACAGUACUCCAUUCUGUCAUCCAUGAAAGUCGUGGAGAAUGGUCUAUGAUGUUACUCCAUUCUGUCAUCCACGUGAGCCGAUGAAGCAGAAACAAAUGAUGAUGAUGAUGGAUGAUAUAGCUGCCGGGACCCACUGCAACCUCGUGCAUCAAUCAUGACGAUCUCUAACGGCAAAGGCAUGCAUCCAGUAUGGCCUGAUGAAGUAAUUUAGUCUGCCAAAUUUCUUUCUGCUCGUUGCGCAUAGAAGGCGUAUUUUCUUUUCCUUUUUUCCACCCGAGAAGGAAGAAGAAGAAGAAACUGCUGUGGCCAAUUCAAUCCGGAUCAUCAAAACAACAGCCCAUUCCAGACUAGAAGAAUUUGGUCACCAAAUUCGGAUGGAGGUAAAAAGUCACUAGUUACCUGCAGCACCGAAUAGUACUGGUUCGUUCAUUUACUGUUUCCAAAAACUUUCUGCUGAGAGUUUGUGCAUUGUGGUGACACUAAAUAUGCGCGUGCGCGGUUCGUAGGAUUCGAACCCACAACCUCCAACCUCGCGCGUAGCUUUCUUGCCAUCCCACCUACACACCACAUCUAAGUAUGUAGGGGAUCCUAUCCUUUUGUAUUAACUCGUGGGGGACCCUUUUAUCCCGGUUGGAAACACCAACCGCGAUAAAAGACCCCCUUUUAUCCCGGUUGGUAUUACAAACCGGGAUAAAAGGGUUCGAGGAUUUAAUCCUCUUCCAGCCACCUUCCAGUCACCUCGUUGGGGACCCUUUUAUCCCGGUUUGAAACACCAACCGGGUCAAGAGCCUUUUAUCCCGGUUGGUGUUUCAAACCGGGAUAAAAGGCCCCUCAGAGUCUUUUUUCCCACUAGCCUUUGCAACCGGGAUAAAAGGUCCCGGUUGGUGAGCCCCCCACCAGUGACCGAGUUUUAAUCCCGGUUGGUGAACCUUUGUCCCGAGCCAACUUUAAACCGGGAUAAAAGAGGGCGCAUGGAAAGUUAAUUCUCUACUCGUGUUUGCGGGACACAAUCAUUUCAAGCAGGAGACGGUGGUUCAUCUGGAUGGACACCGGCCUCCGAUCAACAAUUUCCCCAGUUUCCCGUGUAGGCAAGGGGGAAGAUGGCAGGUCGCCAAGAAAUAGCAGCAGAUAUGUCCCUUGUCAAAACUUCAAGCCAGUAGUCUGUAAAAUAGAAAGAGAGAUUUGUUCCACUUAGGCUGCUACGCCUACAACAAUAAUGACUGUGGGGAGCUAGGAAAUAGCAUCAUGCUGAUAAGCCCAACAUCAUUGGAAUACAGUAACAGCGUACUGAAAACAAAAGAGGCUACAUCAUGGGCCAACUGAAAUUGUGUUAUCCAUAACAUUUUUUUUUAGAAAAUCCUCAGCCAUCAACACACGCAACCAAAUUAUUACAGAAUCUUAAGCUCAGUUGCUGAUUAAAAAAAUAAAAAGAGAAAAUAAUUAUAAGCAAUGUUUAAUGUUGCUUAUCCAUCCAUUUUUAAUAGAAACUUUCCAAAGCUUUCGUUGCUCUACUAUCGAACGGACGGUCUCCCUUAUGUCUUCACACCACGUUAAUAAAUCGCAAUUAAUAUGUUCUCCCGAAGGUAACCUUCAAAGCGAUGAAUGUAGAUCACCCACGAGCAACCGAGCACGCACAAGGGAUGCUGAAACACCACAUGGAUCUCCAUGACAACACCUUCAACAAGAACAUGACGCUAAUGACACCAUUGUCAUUGGCCCAAGUAUUGGGUUGGGUUUACACCCGGAGAAUUAAAAAAUCACCAUUCGGGGGAGGUGCAAACAAAGUCGCCUCCAAGGAGGCAACGGCACCCGCAAGCGUCACCAUCCACACUUUCAUCCCGACCUCCACCAUGCCAUGCCGGCAGCAGCCUGAGCAGAAAUCCACUCACCAAGCUGUUGAUGGUGCUGAGCAAGUUCGCAAGUGCCAGCCAUCAUUAUUGAGAGCCAGCUGCUGCCGCCGCAAACUCAUGCCCAUUGCGCUAGGGCUAGGGCGCCGGCCAUAGCAAGGCCUAGAUGCACGUGUUGCGUCAUGGCUGGCACCACACUAAGCCCACCAUGUCACCAGACUGUCACAGCCGGAAGGGCGCCGGUCGUCAGAUCCGACCCCCAGCGCAUGGAAUCCACCGCCUAGAAGCUAAUAUCUCUAGAGUGAAAAUCAACACUUCAGAAGAUCCCUGAGGGAGGGGGAACGUGAAGGAGAGGCUCCCCGAGUGCCGUCAGCAUCACCGGAGAACCCAAGCAGCCACAUAUCCAGGGGUCUCCGAGGGACCCGUCGUCGGAUCCGGUCACGCCAAGGGGAAGCACCAUCACGUUCAAAGGUUUCACCUCUAUGUGUAACGCUGCACUGUCCGACUGCCCGAGUACCUCCAGCAUUGGAUGGAGUGAUGGCAAUCUUAUUAGGGGGAAAAGAAACUACACACACCAAUGACAUAUGGUAACAGCUUACAAUGAUGGUAGUGGAUAAAAGAAAUGGGAGCACCAGAAACAAAAUCUAGAGUCUCAACAGUCAAAAUCAAAUUAACAAGAUCAAACAAUAAAAGUUAUGAGUACCACAAGAGCUUACACUGUCCGACUGUCCGAGUACCUCCAGCGUUGGUUGCAGAGCACCAGGGGGGGGGGGGGAUCAUUUCCAAAGUGGAUGCAUCAGUGGAGAUCUCUCAAUGUUUGUCACAUAAGCAGUGUGGUGCCCUCCAGGUGCCCAGGUUGGUGUGUUAAACUGCCUCCGAUCCACAGCCAUCUUAGAACACUGCAUUCCAAGUUUCCAACACUUUUCAUGGUCUCAACUCUACUUUUACAUUCUCUCAGGGGGUGUUUGGGAACACCGUGCUAAACUUUAGCACCUGUCACAUCGGAUGUUUGGAUACUAAUUAGGAGUAUUAAAUAUAGUCUAAUUACAAAACUAAUUGCACAGAUGGAGUCUAAUUCACGAGACGAAUCUAUUAAGCCUAAUUAGUCCAUGAUUUGACAAUGUGGUGUUACAGUAACCAUUUGCUAAUGAUGGAUUAAUUAGCCUCAAUAGAUUCGUCUCGCGAAUUAGACUCCAUCUGUGCAAUUAGUUUUGUAAUUAGCUCAUGUUUAGUCCUUCUAAUUAGCAUCCGAAUAUCCGAUGUGACCCUGCUAAAGUUUAGCACCUCGUAUCCAAACACUCCAAUGUGCUUUAUCUUGCUCCAAUCAUCUCCUGACUCGCUGCAUCUUUGCUUAAACCUCUUUGUGCAUUGUGACAGUGUCAAGGUAUGCAAAGAGGUCAGCCUCUCAAUGCACGGAGGCAAAGUUUUCAUCCAGUAGGCCUCUACUUUGAGCUCACGGAGAGAUGCCAUAUCUCCCAACCAUUCUGGCAAGGUUUCCAUGUCCUCACAGUUCAGUAUCUCUAGCUUCCUGAGGGAUUUCCAGCCUAGAAUGCACUUUGGCAAAGGUACAGGAUCGAUGCAACUGUCAACAGUUAAUUCUUCAAUGUCAAGCAGUUGAAGAGAAUCAGAGUCAGAAGAUAUAUUUUUGAUGUACUUGAUUUCCAUUUUGGAUGAUAAAGCAGAUGUUGAUAGCCCCAUGAUCGACUUGGUAGAAUGAUGGCCAAUUGAAUAAGAACGGAUAUUGUUUAAUUCCAGAUAUGAUAUACCUGGCACUCCAAGGGAUUGAUGGUUCGAAUCUUACAUUCAAACAACAGUCUAUCUCCACAGUAACUUCCCUACUCUUACUAUUGUAACUCUUCUGAGAUUUUUCACUGGCUGUGUGAUCAAGAUGCAUAUCGAUGAUUUGGCAUAUAGGUUCACUAUAACUUCACCAUCCCCCACAAGCAGAGACACCGGGACAGACGAGAUAUACAAGUCUUCAAGAGAUUGUAAAUAAUCUAAAUGGAGGUCACCAGAUUGAACAUUGAAAAGCUCCAAUCGUACAAGAUUUGGUAGCCAACGUAACCAGUUAGGAAAAUCACCACCAACAUAGUUCUUUAUGCAAAGCCUUUUAAGGUUUUCACGAGGCUGGAGCUCUUCUAACGCGACCUUGUUCAACACUGGCCCACUCCACUCCAAACUUAAAAAUUGGAGCUCCUCUUUUUGCGCCAAUUCAAUUAUGUUUGCGUCUGAGCUUGAUAGAUCUUCGAGAUGUUUAAUAUUAAGUUCAGUAAGCUGGUGACUUGUAGUCUUUUGUAGAAGAGCCAUGUCCUUUGAUGAACUGACGGCGAAACUAGGGCCCUGCUAUUUUACAAAAACAAAGAAAAUGAAAAAUAAAACAUUCUGCUUUAGUCAAGAUGGCAUGCAUACUAUAUAAAACCAUCUCUAGGUGCAAACAUGCAGCUUAGAGCAUCUCCAAUAGUCAUCUAAUUAAUGUUUCUAGAUAACUAGUUAAUAGGGAUAUCCCGAGUUGCUUUUACAGUCUUCUAUAACCUCAUCCCAAUCUAACUACCGUUGUUGGGAGAGUCACAGCUCCUCAUUUAUUUGGGGAGUUGGGGUGAAUUAUUUGUCGAAUAAUUAUUGUAAAAAAGGAAAGGUAAAGGGAGUGUGUUAGAGCACUAUUUUUUCACAAACUCUCCAAAUAUGGUAGUUGUAUUGGAGCACUGAAUAGUACUGGUUCGUUCAUUUACUGUUUCCUCAAACUUUCUGCUGAGAGUUCGUGCAUUGUGGUGACACUAAAUUAGCUGCUUAAUCUGCUGCAGGACAUCAAGCAGUGGGCGUAUGGCGCACCUAUCAGCUGGGUUCCUGUUGGUCAUCUUAAUUCUUGCUUGUGGUAGAGCAAACCAUGGCCGACUUAGUGAUCAGGCCCAGGGCCGGCUCUAGGGGAGCGGCAGGCCGUGCGACCGUCCGGGGCCCAUGAAGCUGCGGGCCCAAAACCAUAUAGGUAAUCAAUACAUAUAAUUUGGUUGGUGGACUUUGUUUCGGCCUUUCUAAAUGGCCCGCGUAACAACUGCGGCCUGCCUCCGUCCGUGCCAAAUCAGGCCUACCAAAUUGCUCCAUGACUAUGCUGUCCCUGAUUCUGUAUACAUAUACGCUCCUGACUCCGUGGUUGUGCUGUCGCUGAGCACCGCGUCUGGAGCGCGUCAGAGGAUAUAGGCGAGCCGCGAGCACCGUUAGGGUCAGAGGCGAGUGCUUAUUUGAAGUUCAAUCUUUGUUUUCUUUUUCGCCAAUUUCGUCAAAAAGCAAUCAUUUAAUUAAUAUUAUUUCUUUCGUGUAGUAAUUCCAUUCUUCAUCAAUUGCGUAGAAGGAGCAAUGCCUUACGACAUUGAAGGAGAAUCUUGGUAAUUCUAUCGUCAAUUGCAUAUCAGAUUCUCUUAACUAUUCCAAUGACAGUAGUAUCAGCCGAAAGUAGUUUCUCCAUUUUGAAACUAUUGAAAAAUUAUUUGAGAUCAACUAUGUCACAAGAAAGAUUGAAUGGCUUGGCUAUGUGCAAUAUUAAGAAGGAUGUUUUGGACGACAUUAAUCUUGAUACUGUUCAUGAAGACUUUGCAUCAAGAAAUAUAUCCGAAGAUGUUUUUCUACAAAGCACUAAAGCAUUAUAUUUUUAUUUGAGAUAAUCAUAAUGGUUAUUGUUUUUAGUUUUUUUGUUACACUAUUAUUAUGUUUUAUGAGAGAUAUAUAUUGCAAAAAUGAUGCGUAGCUCUCCUGAAUAUAUAUAUAUAUAUAUUGCAAAAUAAUUUUUAUUAUUCGUAUUAUAUACUUUAGUUUUGAUAUUAAAAAUAGUUCAACGGGUCCUUAUGUUUGCCCAAGGGUCUUCAAAAUUAUAGAGCCAGCCGUGAUCAGGCCAUUCAUCUUCAUGGUGGAGAAGGUGAUCGAAGGCAUGGAGCGCAAGCUGCCAUCAAUCCUGCAUGCACAUUAACAAGGAUGCGGAGGAAAGAAGAGCCUCCCGACCUGAAGCAGCAGCUUGGCUCAAAGACCUCAAGACAGUUGCCUAUGCGGUGCUGGCCGGUGGCGCGAUCCAACGCUCUUGGGCAGCGGUAGCGAUGGCUUCCUGUUCCGCGGGCAGCCACAGCAGCGGCGACGGCGCGCUCAGCGGCCUCAACCCGUGCGCGGGCCCACUAGGAUUAAAACAAUCUAACACAUCCCAAUCUUAAGGAAGUGCACCAGUAGGUUCUUUUGUAUCACUUUUGGAUAGUCAUCGAAUUGCCGAACCUUUGAGCAGCGGAUCGACCCCCGCAUGCACUCAUGUCACACCCGAUUUUAAGGACAAAAUCGAGUGCAUUAAAUACAUGUGUGCCAGGAUCAAGUUACACACAUGUACGAUAAUAGUGAAUAACAAAGAUAGUGCUAAAACGAAUAAAGAGAGUAUUAAACAUUAUUACAUGACCGAAAGUCUCAAUAAACCAUAAGCCUAAUUUAUUAUGCAGCGGAACUCCAAGGACGACGACGACUCCACAGGCAGCUGACUGAAGAAACGUACGCCUAGAACUCCUCAAAGUCGUGUAGGUACUCCUCCCAAUUAGCUUAGUCUGAACAACGGUUUUGCAAGGGUGAGUACUGUAACAACUCUACCUAAAUUAAGUACUUUUAACUCUAAACCAGUGAUAAAUCCCUAAGUUAAGAAGUGAAAUGACCUUUAUAAACCUAAGAAGCUCGUUUUGGAGUUUGAAUUAAAGCUUGAAAUUUUGUAUACAAACCUGAGUUUCUGCCCAAGUAAGAGUUGUAAAACUUUUUAAUUCCAACAACUUUUGUUAAAGUCACUUUGACUAAUUCGGAGUGGAAGGAAGUCAAAAACAUCAACCAAAGCCAGUUUUUCUAAAGGACCCUGAAAAUCUCUUAAGUCCUGAAAUUCGAGUUUUCCUCCAUCUUGCAAGCUUUCAUCUCCUGUUUUCCCUAUCUAAACUCAAGUCAGGGCCUGAAUGAAAGUUGUAGUACCUCAAGAUUGUUCCAACUUUGUUACACUGAUCCAGAUCCAAAUCGGGCCCGAACUUGUUCAAAACUCCGGUCAAAGGGAGGUAAACCAGUCAACUCACCCCUGGUGCCUUAAAAAUCCUAAGUCUGGAAUCCCAGAUUUUUGGCUAACUUUGACCGGAAAUAUCUUUGAAUCCUUUCACAAUCUAAACCAGCACCUUAAACAAAGUUUGAAGAACAAUCAGAGUUGAGCAAGUUUGUUUAAGGGAGUUUUGGAAGUUGUGUUGAAAGAUUCGGAGGAAGGAUCACUCCAAAGCUGGUCGGGCUUGUUGCCCGAAGGGAGCCUCGACGCCCGCGCGCCAGAGCACGUUCACUCGCGCGCCGCGUGCCGCGUGGCCGCCGGCCACCGGCAGCUCGCCGGCACCCUAUCCCCAGCACGACAGCGAUAGGACGAGAGCCACGGCGCCCAACCCGCGCCCGCGACAGGACGGAGCGAGCGCAGGGCUAGCCAACCGCCAGCCGCGCGCAGGUCGCCUUCCGCCUGCCACGGCUCUGCUCCGCCAACCCUGUUCCGCCCGUCCGCUGAGAAAGCUGACACGCCCCCGACGUCCCGCGCCUCCGCCCGUUCGCCCAACCCCCACGGUAGCCCUUCCGUCUCGCCCGCCCGACAGACCGGAAGCCCUAGAUGUGCGCCGCCCAAGGCCAAUCGCCGCCGAAGACCACCCGGAGCUCCGCCUCCUCUGCCCAAUGGCGUUGUCGGCCAAUGGCCGCCUCGCCUGAGCACUCGCCGCUCCCGGCCUUAUCCUUUCCCCACCGGAGCCCCGCCUCGACCCUCCGCCCCACCACGACCCUAUAAAAGAGAACCCCCUCACCGGCAAUGCCACCCCUUGCCACCGCCUGCACCUGCGCCACCGCUUUCUCCUCUGCGCCCCCGCUUUCUCCUCUGCGCUACCGCUGAGCUUCCGUGGAGCUCACCCCUUUGCGCCACCCCACACUCCGGCGAUUUCGCCGCCACCCUCUUGAGAAAGUUCCCCUCUCCGCUCCAGCCGCUUCUUCCAACCCACCAGCCGCCCGCUCCUCCGCGUGGUACUCGAGCUUGCUAGUGUCCGCAAGAAGCACCGCCGCCGCCGGAGCACCGUCGAAGCAACGCCGCCGCCGGACCACCGUCGAAGUCUCGCUGCUGCCCAAGCCUUAGCGCGUACAACUUCCCGCCCCAGCCUACUCCUGUUCGGCCCCAAGGCUUCACCGGUAGACCUGGAGGUAAGUGACCGACCCCUUGUGUUCCGUCUCGACCGACCCCUUGUGUUCAGCCUCAACCGACCCCUUUUCUUUCCGUCUCGCCCGACCCCUGUCCUUUUUGUUUCGCCCGACCCCUGUCCUUUUUCGUUUCUCCCGACCCCUUUGUUUCGGUUCGCCCGACCCCUUUUCUUUUCCUCUCGCCUGACCUUUUUCCCGUUCGCCUCGCCCGACCCUGCCAAGUUUCGCCGACCCUUUCUCCGUCUCGCCCGAGGGCUCGGCUGUAACUUUUUCUUUGACCCGAGGGUAUCGGUGAAAUAUUUUCGGGGAUUCCUCUGUGUUGAGUCUGAGGACCUCGGUACGGUUUUCCUUAAACCUGAGGGUCAGACCCUAAGUUUCCCCUAAUCCGACCCUCUCAUCCUGAUCUCCUCCAACAGAAGUUGAACUCCCCCACCUUUCCUGUAGCUUGGCUACAAGUGUCCGUGUUAAAACAUUAGUGUGUUGAAAUAACCAUCUAAAAUGUUUAACCCCUGCAUUGCAUUUCCGUGUAGAGUUGAAUCUCGCCGAUGGAACGUACGAGCUUCACCCGGCACCGGAAGAAGACCCCGCCGAGGAACUGCAUCCCUUCGAAGGAGAGCCCGAACCGGAGCAAGACCCCGAGGACCCGCAAGCUUUUCCUGAAGGCAAGCCCCGGAGCAUAAAUUCCUAUCUUGAAUUCAUGCAAUAUUAUUGAUUACUUGAUUGCGCAUUUACGUUUCGAGGAGUUGUAAUGGAACCUUAGAUGCAUAACUUAGUACCUUAUUUUUGAAUACUAGUUGCUAAGGCCGAGUAGUUGCAUUGCUUAAUAGGUUCCGGUAAAAGUCGAGUGAUCUCCUGUCACUCGCGAGUUAUAGGAGUUGAAUGUUUCAGAUAUGUCGCAACUAUAAGGACGACGGACGGGGUCAGGCUUAUGUUCGAUACUUGGUGGAUUGCCCCGUCUGUCUAAAUGAAAAUGAACUAAGGUCGAAACGUGUCGGCGUUCGUGAUCAAGUGUUUGAAAGUACUAAUCUCAUACCUAGUAUGGGAUGGGGAAGCCUAGUACCUGAUUGAAUUGGGGCGUGGCAUACCCUCCGGCUGUCCUUGGAACGUCGUUCCCAUGGUGCAUCAUGUGGGUGCAAGUGCGGUCACAGUGCAGCAAUAGGCCGGGACUGUGGAGCAUUGCAUGCCAAAGGAAGUUGGCCCUGACACGUGCCUAAGGGAUCGAUGGGGACGGCUGAUAAAUGAAGCGACCCUUCGUGGUGCGCGGAUGUCAUGAGAUUAGGUUUGCCAUGCAUGGUUAAUAAAUUCGAAUCGAUUCAUCUGCCUCUCAUAGAUUGGGACUACUUGAUCGCUAUUCUGCACUGAGUAAAGAUGGAACAUGAUGAUGAUUUUAAUCUUGAUGCUUGUUAAGUAAUUGCUUGGAAACCAUGUUUGUUUAGUAUAAGUUGCUAAUCUGGAAUGGAUAAAGAACAUAGAACAUGAGCUAAAAUGUUGAAAGUAAGGACUGACUUUAGACGCUUUUGGCAAAGAAAACCCCAGAGCCAGAAAGCCUUGCAUGUCUAGGUCUCGGUCGUGUCUUUUCGACAGGUCAGUCUUGCGGAGUACUAGUUGCUCAGCCUUGUUGUGGCUAAUCUUUUUCAGGUAAUGUCAAUAGUUUGGGUGUUGGUACCACUUGGCCGACCCAGCUUCCUCCAGGUUGGACCGUCGAGUGGGAUCCUUCCUUGGAUGGCGAAGGAAGAAAUUUUUGAUGUCAUGAACGGCUCCGUCGUGAUGUCAUGUAUCGACGUUUAGUUUUCGCUAUUUUCCUUUGACUUCGAACCAUGCAAAUUUCGAUUUGAAUUUCAGAAACUCUGAUGUAAUAAAUUGUUGAACUAUGUUGUCAUGAUGGAAUGUUGUAACCUCUGUGCUACUCACCUUCGCGUGAGCGAUGCUUCUCGAUCCUGUUUAUGUGGUUUAUCGGAGGAAAUCCGACGGUCGACCAAGUUGACUUGCUUAAAGUGCAUAAUCGCGUGUCAGACGACUUCAAUGCAUUUUAGUCAGGUUAAUUUGGGCGGUUCCGCCACAAGUACACUUAUGGUUGGUACUCAACAAGUCGUGGGGAAUAGUGUAGUGUAAGGCAAAUCAAGGUACGGCUAAGGCAUAAUUAGCAUUCGCUUUUAUUUAAGUUGGUCAAGUUUUAUUAGCAAUUAACUAAGUAUAAGUUCGUACCACUCGAAAUUAAACAUGAUCAUAAAUAAAGUAAACAGCAUAUGCAUGAAAUGACAACAAGUUAAAUCCAUCUUCCGAUAAAUAUUAUCAUGUGAGGGUCCAGGCCUCUCUUAACCGUGAGCACGGCUGAUCGAUCAGUUUUACACUCUGCAGAGGUGGCACAUCUUUACCCACAAGUCGCGUAAAAGUUCAAAAGAACUUUGGACCCAACCAUGCGGUGUUUGCAAGGCACCAUACCACACUUCUGAGGUGUGAUUGCAUAGGGACGCUACGAGGCCUUUACAAAGAUUCAUUAGUCAGUGGUAACCCGCUAAGGUUUCGAUGUCUGGCGUGCACCACCCAUCCCAGGCAAAAAUGCAACGACUCAGUCCCCCCUCUUGCCUCAUCAUGAGUAAGGUCACCCUAGACUAAGGUUUCUAAUUAUUCAGCCAAGACCAGAGCCAUUUAGUCUUGUGGUAGCACUAUUUUCCUGGGUGGUCGCUCCAUGUUACGAUUAAUAAUACAUGAUCUUAUAUUAAUGAAAGGUAUAACAGAAGUAAAGCAAGAUUAAACAUUGUUUUUAGUUAAACCACCAUGUACCAAGUAAGCGCUAAGCAUGAGCUACCCAACAAAAAGUAAACCGGUUGAUCAAGGCAAAGGUAAUUCAAUCUAGGCGAACCUUAAUUGGGACCCAUCAAUUCAAUCUUAACAUGUGCAUAGCAUAAAUGUUGAGUACGAGAAAGUAAAGGUGUAUAGGAUGAAAAGUAGUGAUCAAGGACACGACUUGCCUUCUUGGCCUUGCUCCUACUGUUCGUACUCCUCGAAGGCUUGGUCUUCAACUCCCUCGAACUGCGGGACGUCUACACGCGUCACACGAGCACAUACAAGCAAACAUGGGCAAAAAGUAAGAAACAGUACACCAAUCACAAUUAAACAGAGAAAACAAGCUUGAAAAGUUGAUCUACGCUUUAAAACGAACACGUGGAUAUAAAGAACGCGAAAAACGGAGUUAAGAUGCAAAAGAGAUGAUUAAAACAAGAUCCAGGGGCUUUUCUGUGAGAAAAACAAAACUUUUAGGGCAAAACCGCAAAAACCGAGGGCUUAUACGUAAAUACGCGUAUAAACCAAAGGUCUAACGCGCAAAAACUCCAAAACGGACGGCGGGUUGAUUUUUAGAAAACUCGGGGUUUAAACCGAAAAGCACGAGGGCAGAUCUGUGAAUAUUUUCAACGCGAUCUGGACCGCGGGUUGAUUUGCGGAAAAGGCAGGGGCUUAAGAGCAAAAUGGCGCGGUGCGGCACGGUUGACCGUUACGCGGUCUUGUUUGACUCGCUAUCGGCCGUCGGAUUUAGGUCCGACGGUCACGGUCGGCGAUGACUCGCGACGGCGACGGGAAAAGGGCAGCCAGCGGCGGUGAGCGACGGCGAGGUCGCCGGAGUAGGCCGAAACAACGCCACGGGGCUCGGUUUCGCGCGCGGAAAGCACCAGAAGAGAGCGGGGAACAUGGCGAACCCGUUUAGUGCCUUGGCGGGAGCCACGGCGCGGCGGCGCUCACCUUUUGGCGGCGGCGUGCGGCGGAGAGAGGCAGCGGCGCAAGAGCUUGCGGCAGCUAGGGUUUGGAGGGUGCUGGCACGGGUGCUCGUGGCCGGGGGAGGCGGCAGCUUAAAUAGGGGCGGACGGCUUGGAGAUAGAGGCGGCCCCGGAUUCAAACCGGUCGGGGAAUACGGCACCCACCCGGAGAUCUCGCGCGGCGGUUGCGGGCGGAGGAGAGUCUGGUCGGAGGUGGGAGACGAUGGCGGGUCCCACCUGUCGGCGGUAGCGGGCGGUAGGCGGGCCGUAGCGGCUGUGGGCUGGCGCGCGCGUUCGCGGGCCGCGGGAAAGGGGCGAGCGGAGAGCUUCGCAGGCCGGCUGGAGGUGGAGCGGUGGGCCGCACGGGCAAGGGGGUUCGCGGGCCGGCGAAGAAAGGCGGAGCGGGCCGAGCGGCUGGCACUGGGCUGCCGGCAGAGGAGGAGGCGCUAGGCCGAAAGAAAAAGAAGAAGAGAAAGGAAAGCAAGGUGCGGCCCAGGAGGAGAAGAAGAAAAAGAAAAAGAAGAGGGAAAAGGAAAAAGGUUUUGGAGAUUGAAUUUAAAUUUGGAAUUCAAAUUUUUGAUUCAAACCCAAGCAAUCAAAAUAAAUGCAGCAGCAUGAAUGCACAAUUAACUCCUAUGAUGAAUUAAUUAAAUUAAAGAAAAUGAAAUUAAAUGCCUAGAAUUUAAAUGACACCCUAAUUUGAGUAAAUUUUAAUGAAUUUGAAUUCUCUAAAAUUUUGGGUGUUACAACUCAUGAAACUAAAAGGGAAAUCCUUUUCUCAUAGCUGGAUAAUAGCGCGCGGCGACAGAAAAGCCAGCAUCGUUUCUGAUCUCAUUCACGUAUAUACAGCCAGUUGCUCGCUUCCGACCAUGCAGCUGCAUGAAGAAUAUGGACCGAAUGUUUAGUCAGUAAGCAAACACUGCCUAAAGUAAGUUUACAGAGCUACAUGCUGGGCAUUUCAGACUUGUUUAAACAGAGGUGCAAACAAAGUCGCCUCCAAGGAGGCAGUAGCACCCGCAAGCGUCACCGUCCACGCUUUCGCCCCGACCUCCAUGCUAUGCCAUGCCAGAAGCACCAUCACGUUCAGAGGUUUCACCUCUAUGUGUAACGCUGCGCUAUGGAGAGAUGACAAUCUUGGGGGGGGCGGGGGGGGGGGUACCAAUGACAUAUGGUAACAGCUUACAAUGAUGGUAGUGGAUAAAAGAAAUGGGAGCACCACAAACAAAAUCUAGAGUCUCAACAGUCAAAAUCAAACAAGAUCAAACAAUAAAAAGUUCUGAGUACCACAAGAGCACCAGGGGGGGAUCAUUUCCAAUGUGGAUGCAUCAGUGGAGAUCUCUCAACGUAUGUCACAUAAGCAGUGUGGUGUCCUCCAGGUGUCCAGGUUGGUGUGUUAAACUGCCUCCGAUCCACAGCCAUCUUAGAACACUGCAUUCCAAGUUUCCAACACUCUUCAUGGUCUCAACUCUACUUGAACAUUCUCAAUAAGCUCUAUCUUGCUCCAAUCUUCUCCUGACUCGCUGCAUCUUUGCUUAAACCCCUUUGUGCAUUGUGAUAGUGUCAAGGUAUGCAAAGAGGUCAGCCUUUCAAUGCACGGAGGCAAAGUUUUCAUCCAGUAGGUCUCUACUUUGAGCUCACGGAGAGAUGCCAUAUCUCCCAACCAUUCUGGCAAGGUUUCCAUGUUCUGACAGUUCAGUAUCUCUAGCUUCCUGAGGGAUUUCCAGCCUAGAAUGCACUUUGGCAAAGGUACAGGAUCGAUGCAACUGUCAACAGUUAAUUCUUCAAUGUCAAGCUGUUGAAGAGAAUCGGAGUCAGAAGAUAUAUUUUCGAUGUACUUGAUUUCCAUUUUGGAUGAUAAAGCAGAUGUUGAUAGCCCCAUGACUUGGUAGAAUGAUGGCCAAUGGAAUAAGAAUGGAAAUUGUUUAAUUCCAGAUAUGAUAUACCUGGCACUCCAAGGGAUUGAUGGUUCAAAUCUUACGUUCAAACAACAGUCUAUCUCUAAAUAUUGAAGUCCAGGAAAUAAUGUGCGCUGGUUGGAGGAUUCCCUGCCACUAUCACUGUGUCUUCCUCCCUGCUGCUCUCUUUGAAAUACGUUCUUAUCAUCCUUCUGCUCAAUACAAGGCAACGUCGAUGUUUUCCACAGUAACUUCCCUACUCUUCCUAAUGUAACUCUUCUGAGAUUUUUCACUGGCUGUGUGCUCAAGAUGCAUAUUGAUGAUUUGUCAUAUAGGUUCAGGUCAUUUGGCCUAUUAAUCACCGGGAAAGACGAGAUAUACAAGUCUUCAAGAGAUUGUAAAUAAUCUAGAUGGAGGUGACCAGAUUGAACAUCGAAAAGCUCCAAUCUUACAAGAUUUGGUAGCAAACGUAACCAGUUAGGAAAAUCACCACCAACAUAGUUCUUUAUGCAAAGCCUUUUAAGGUUUUCAUGAGGCUGGAGCUCUUCUAAUGCGACCUCGUUGAACACUGGCCCACUCCACUCCAAACUUAAAAAUUGGAGCUCCUCUUUUUGCGCCAAUUCAAUUAUGUUUGCUUCUGAGCUUGAUAGACCUUCGAGAUGUUUAAUAUUAAGUUCAAUAAGCUGGUGACUUGUAGUCUUUUGCAGAAUAGCCAUGUCGUCUGAUGAACUGACGGCAAAACUAGGGCCCUGCUAUUUUACAAAAACAUAGAAAAUCAAAAAUAAAACAUUCUGCUUUAGUCAAGAUGGCAUGCAUACUAUAUAAAACCAUCUCUAGGUGCAAACAUGCAGCUUAGAGCAUCUUCAAUAGUCAUCUAAUAAAUGUUUUCAGAUAAAUAGUUAAUAGGGAUAUCCCGAGUUGCUUUUGCAGUCUUCUAUAACCUCAUCCCAAUCCAACUACCGUGUUGGGAGAGUCACAGCUCCUCCUUUAUUUUGGGAGUUGGGGUGAAUUAUUUGUCGAAUAAUUAUUGGAAAAAAGGAAAGGUAAAGGGAGUGUGUUAGAGCACUAUUUUUUCACAAACUCUCCAAAUAUGGUAGUUGUAUUGGAGAAUAGGGAUCUGCUGGAGAUACUAUGUAAACCAUUGGACAAUUGAAUGCUGAUGAGGCUUAUGGAAACAGAGCCAGCCAAGGAUCCCUACCUAACUCUACCAAUCACGGGUAUGCACAGCAGAUAUGCUGGCAACAGAUCCUACCAGUAAGUUUUUUUUUCCAAAAAAAACAUAUCCUACCACGUACACAGCACAAAAAUACAAUUCUAAAAAAUUUGAUGUUCGCCUGGUAUAUCCCAAAAGUUGCAUGACUAUUUUAAUUUGGAACUUGCUUGGCUACUCCUUCCAUCCCAUAUUAUAGGUCAUUUUGGCAUUUCUAGGUUUAUGAUUUUUUGUUGUACACCUUGAUGUAUAUUAUAUCUAGAAGCUAUGAAUCUAAAAUUGUCAAAACAACCAACAAUUUGGAUAAUUUGGGAUGGAGGGAGUAUUUUAAUUUGGAGAAUCAGGUCUACUAUAAGUGCCACAAUUAAGCAAGGUAGUGGCAUAUCAAACAAUAAAUUAAAUAUUUAUGUUAGAAAGGGAUUCCAUUAAUUCAUUCAUAUAUACGAUAUUCACUCCCUAGAAUUAAUGAAAAUACAGUAACAAAUCACAUGCCUGCAUGAUAGAUUGAGCCUCUUGUUAUGCAACCGUAAUUUAUAGUAUACAUUGUAGAACAAAAAAAGUAAUAAUUAAAAACAGUGCAUAUUACCUCAUGUGCAUAUACAUGUUUGAUGGGUUUAAUCUUGUCGUAGUCCUCUCCUAAACGGCUGCAGCAUUCACGCAGUUUGUAAUUGCACUUCUUAAGAGUUAAUGUCUUCAAGGAGGUUACAUCCUUGAUGGAGUGAGGCAAACGCUGCAGUUUGGCAGAAUAAACUUCUAGAUGCUCCAGAGAUGCCAGAUCCCCCAACCAAUCUGGGAGUGCCGCAAAAUUACAACAACUGUCCAAUAUCUGCAAGCUCCUAAGGGAUGAUCUCCGGCAAGGUGAUCAGAUCACUGUCAGAUUUAAUAGUUAAAUACCACAAGUCGGUGCUGACGUAUUGGAGAAAUUCUGAAGCGUCAGAGAAGCCAAACAUAUUUGGUUCCAAUUCAAGUGUAAAAAGGUGUGAAGAUCCAACAAGUAUCACGGGUGAUAGUUCUACCUUACUGCAUGAUGCAACUAUAUGCUCUAUGUAUCCUUGAAAAGCUGAACCGAGGGUCAACGUGGAAAUAUUUCAUCUCCUUGCACCUUCUGUUCAUCAUCAUCCCAAGACAUCUCUCUAGCAGACAGCUCCAAGUUCGUGGACAGCACCUCCAAAUUCUCCAUCUUAUUAAUACAAAGUUCCCUUAAUUUCCUGAAUGGGUUCCUGCCUCCAUAAAAACUAGUAGCCACUUCUCGAAUAUUAGGCAUAUCUGAAAUGUGCAGUUCUUCAAGGUUUGCUAACUGUCCUAGUGAAGGGAGGCGUGCGCACCUUGGCUGCCCAUCAGCACUAUCUUCACAAGAUUUGGAAGAUCGAGAUUUGGAUCGCUCAUCCAGCCACAAAAUGUGGCAUCUCCAUAACCUUCUAUUUCAAGUGUUGAUAGGUUAGGAUGAGGAUGGAGUCUUUGGAGAACUGAAGAAUCAUCAGCUCUGGAGAAUUUUUUGCUCAGAUUAAGAUAUACAUUGUUAGGCCUAUCGUCUGAUCCAGAUAAACCAUUGCUGGAAUAAGAGUUUGCGUCAGCGUGCGCAGCUGGUCAUAUGUAGCCAACUCUCCAAGGCCAACUUCAUCAGCGCUAUUCACCUUCUCAAGAUUUGAAAUAAAUAGGUCUGUGAUUCCAAAGUCUGUAUUUUGACAGAGGAGAAAAUCACUUUCUUGUACUGCAAAAUACACUCCCUGUGAAGGAAGAGACAGAGUUAGACUAUUACCAAAUGCAACGAAAAUAUUUAUGCAUCCAUUCUGUUCUAGAUAAGAAUUAGAAAAUGUCCAUUGUAAAAGAGGAGUAACAAAGCACAGCCAAGAGAACUUACCUCAUUUAUCUUGAUGCAUUGAAUGUGAGGAAUAGCCUGUAGGAUUGCAGCUUUGUCUCUGUCCAAGAAAUUCCCAGGAGAUGACAAAGUUAGCUUCGCCAAACGAUCCAUGCAUCUCAAUUCAUCAAAACGGUCAAACAUCUCGAGGCAAUCAAUUUCAAGCUCAUGUACUGAUUGAAUGCCAGGAAGUUUCUGAAGAUCAUAGCUCUUACAGUUCGAUAUCUUGAGUUUUUGGAUGGUUUGUGUCAAUAUAGGGGUUUAUGACCACAGAUUAAUCUUGGAUAAAUCACUCUCGUUGAUGAAUAACUCCUUGCUGUUGGGGAUUCUUGGAUAUAGUUCCAGAUAACCGCAGUGUUCUAUCUGCAGAUAGCAAAGCGGAGGGAAUUCUUCUUCAUCAGUGUUCAUCAGUGCGGAAGAAGAUACAGGAACGUGUGUCAUCAGUGUUCUCUUUUUAGUCACUCCCAAAAAUAUUUCCAUCAUGUUCCUAAACUUUGCUUUUCCUUUUCCUCGGGAAGGAUCACCAGACUGCGCCCUGAACAUUUCAAGCCUCUUGAAUUCUUCUAAAGGAUCUAUUUCCAUGUCACGUAUCUCUUCACCAUCUUGGCAAAACCACAAGGUGCAUCUGGAUGCUAGUUUAACAAGCGACAGUCGCUUUAGGUUUCUGCAUGGUGCUAAACAUGCUUCCAUAAGUUUAGGCAUAUUACGAAUUUCAAGCUCCUCUAAGUUUGAUAGAUUUCCUAGAGUUGGAAGCUGGUCACACUCUACGAGAUCAGACAAUACCAGUUUCACCAGAUUUGGGAGUGUAGAACAUAUCUUCCUCAUCCAACUAGGAAACAUACUGUAAUUAUAGCCCUUUAUAGUGAGAUGCUUUAAAGCUGGAUGAGGCUUCAAAUUUUCUAGCACAUCCAUUGUCGUCACUUUGGGUUCCUCUGACCAUUCUAAUAAGGACCACUCCAAACUCAAAGAAGCAAGCCGAUGUCUCCUUCCCAAUUGCACCCCCUUUGCUUCCUCUGCAGACUUCACAACCUCAAGGCAUUUGAUAUUUAGUUCACUGUUUGUAGAAUCAAGGAUAUUCUGUAGAAGGAUAAUGUUGCUGCAAUCACCACUGCUGCCACUUUCUGAGACCACAAAAUCCGGUAGGGUUAGUAGGUCACUGGAGAUGCCUUCCUUUCAGAACAGUGACAUCCCUCCAACUGAAAGGUACUCAAGACGAUGCAUGUUUUUCAAUGUGUCAUGCAGCAUUUUCAGGCUCAACUCCUCACCAGAAUAAUCAGAGGAAUGCUGUGUAGAGGAGCUUGGAGCUUCAGAAUCUUUUCUUACAUCAAAUCCUGAUAAUGCUGAUAGGUUUAGGUACUCCAAAUUUACAAAUUUACCAAGAAAGCAGAUAAUUUUCAAAAUGCAAGGACAGCCAGAUAAAUUCAGAAAUCGGAGUUUAUUUAGUCUGGCACAAGAUUCAGAAAGAUCAAUAAGCCUCGCACAAUCAGAUAAAUCCAAAAUCUCCAGGUUCAGGCAGCCAUUGUUGCCCACACAAAAUUCAGGAAGUGCCUCAAGGCAAGUACAACCAGACAUAUUAAGAUAAAGAAGUCCCUUCAUUCUAUUGAAUGACAGGGUACGCAGUUGCUUAAGCUGGCAGCAGGAGGACAGAUUCAGAUGUUCCAAAUUUUUCAGUAGACUGAAAGAGUCUGGAAGCAUCUCAAGCUUUGAACAACAUGAUAAGUUCAAGAACGAAAGCUUUGGCAGCUCUCCAAAUUGUGAAGGUAGCUUUUGUAGGCUGGUACAACCUGAUAGAUCGAGGUGUUCCAAAUUUUCCAGUAGACUGAAAGAGUCUGGAAGCAUCUCAAGCUUUGAACAACAUGAUAAGUUCAAGAACGAAAGCUUUCGCAGCUCCCCAAAUCGUGAAGGUAGCUUUUGUAGUCUGGUACAUCCUGAUAGAUCAAGAUGUUCCAGGACUUGGAGUCUGUGAAUGGGACCUGGAAGUUCACUAAGAUUCGAGCAGCCAUGUAGAUCCAAAUAGUGAAGCUUCUGAAAGUCACAAAUGGAAGUGGAACUAUGGAGCUUUAAUUUUUCAGAAAAGGAGCUAUGGAGCUUUUUGAGGCUGGUAUUUUCUGAAAGAUUUAAAAACUGCAGGUGGUGCAAGUUUUGCAUAGAACUGGGUAGCUGGACAGUUUGCAUGCGUGGGAAGUCCAAUACACGCAGCCAUUUAGUUUCUGAAAAGGCACCCUUCGAAGGCUGACAUCCUGUGCAGCCACUAAAAUGAGCAGCCCUUGCUUUGAAAGGCGUAUCUUUGCAUUUUGGGUACUGACCUUUGAAAUUCAACAACAACGUGUAUCGAUAGUUGUCCUCUUUACCGAAGCUUCUUUGUUUGCCAUCACAGAUGGCAACUUCCUCAAUAGCAACUGACCUAGCAAGUUCAUGAACUAAAUCGUGCAUUUUGAAUAAUACAUUAUGCAUAUGAGGGUUAUUAAGCUUGGAGUAUCUUGCAGAAAUCUGAAAAGCAAAUUUGCAGGUCGAUUAGUAGUGCACUAGAUAUUUUUUUCAAGGACUCAACGGUAGGUCAAAAGAAAAAAAUAUAUAAAGAGCAUGCCAAUUUCACAUUUAGAAACGAGAUUGAUCAUUGCCACAUCAGCCGUCCCGCAUGGAGAUGCUAGAGCAGUCAAAGGGAGUGCAAAGGGUUUAAAAUUGCAACGAAUGAACAUUAUUUUCUCUCCAGUAGCAAUUGUGUCAAGACAACCAAGUUGACGUUUCUUCUAUCUGAAAUGAAAGAACACUGCCGAUUUAUUUAUUGCUAUAUCCAAUUUAUAGAAUGGAUAUACCAUUUAAUUGAUAUCUUUUCGUAAAAAUGAAACGCAUAAUAUGCAUCCACAUUUCAGCUUCGAAUUUUACUGGAUAGAGAUACAUGAUCUAGGCUAUUAAGUAGCGACUCAUAAAAGCUAAAUCUUGUAACCAAUGGUGGGUCAAUAAUGAUCAUUUUUGUAUAUAUGUAUCGACUGUUGUAAAAAAGUGAUUCGCUUUUCCUAUGCAGUAACCUUCUGCUCCUAAAGAAUGCCAGGAUUGUGUUUUAAUUAUUGCAAUUACUAUUCACUUAGUAACUUAACUCGCUGUCUUGGCAAUGUUGUAGAGCUUAUGCCAAAAAUACAGCUCAGCCCUUUUUGCUCAGAUUCCAUGACUUUAUGCAGAGAAAACUUGACUUAAAACAAAACUUAGGCUAUGUUACUAGUAAUUUGCAACCUCAGGGAGUUUACUUGUCAUGUUUAUUUGCUUGGUUGAUUUCAGUAAGCAUAAAACUGGCAACUUAAGAAAUAAUGUUCGUGUCGCUAUAUUUAUCUUUUAAAUAAUGUUGACUCAAAUAUUUAUAAGGUGUUAGAAUUGAGGAACCAAUACAACCAUGUCCGAAUGAUUCAUCGUAGGAUCACUCCAUGAAUUUUACACCUUGAUCAAUAUGCUUGUGCGAAAUGAAGUGGAUUAUUCAAAACUAGAAUCAAAGGAUUUAUGACUAUCUCAUUCUUCAAACCAAAGAUUAUAUUGAAUUAGUAGUAGAUAAACACCAUAUUCUGAAAUAAGAUUAAAAUACUAAUAAAUCAUGCGAGAAAUGACAGCACAACUCGAUACAAGGAAAAAAGUUAACUGUACCAAGCUUGGGUAUAUAAUAUAACUCACCGAGAUAGAGUCACUUGAAGCCUCCAGGAAUGACAUCUGACAAAGUUCUAGUAGGUAUUCCUCAGCACGAUGUGUGGUCAGAACAAAUCUCAGAGCAAUCCACUUAUGAAUCAGUUCUCUCUUCUCUAUGAUGAAGCCUUUUGGGAAGGCAGAAAAGUAUACAAAGCAAGGUCUCAGAUAAUAUGGCAUGUGGUAGUAACUAAUCUUCAAGGAUGGUAAUAUUAAAGUAGAUGUUGUUCCAGUCGUUGGAUCGCAUUCGUCUUCCCACAGGUCACUCUUCAGUGUUUCUUCCUACUUGUGCAUCGGCAUAUCUAGCAGACGAUCCCCAAGAGACUUGACUGCCAAAGGCACUCCACCGCAUUUCUUUACUAUUUUCUCCCCCAUAUGUACCUUUGCCAUUUCAGAUUCUUUAAUUCCAUUUGGAAAUGCCUUAGCUUUGAACAGCUUCCAGCAGUCAUCGUACGGCAAGGCACCCAACUUGAAUGGCAACUCACGAUUCAGCCGCUUAGCAACCUGUUCACUUCGAGUGGUCACAAUUAUCUUUCUGCCUGGUGCGCCACCUUUCAACAUCGCUUCUAUCUUUUCCAAUUGUCCUGUGUUUUCUUCCCAUAAGUCAUCUAAAACAAUAAGAUACUUCUUUCCACGGAGGAUCAUCUCCACGCGCAUCUGCACGGAGGACAGGUCAUACUGGUUACUCUGUCCAUCUACUUGGGAGAUAAUUGAUCGACCAAUCUUUUCAUCGCUAAAACUUGUGGAGACAUAAACCCAAAUCUGGAUAUCAAAAUCUCUCUUAGUUGUAUUGUCGUCAAAAACCAUUUGGGCGAGAGGUGGUUUUACCCAGACCACCAAAGCCAUAUAUAGGGAUGAUGAUGUGUUUGCAAUCUUCUUGCAGCAACUUCAUCAACUCUACCUUGUCCUUGUCCCUCCCAAGUAUACCUUCUACAAGGCAAGGGCCUGUAGCCCUUGUCUGGAUCACGUCCUGGUCGUCAGAGCUUGUGUCCACCAUCAAGUCGAACUGCCUCAGCUUUUCUAUGUCGUCCAAUCUUUGCUUCAUGGCCUUCAACUUGCUAGGCAUGUUUAGCCGCAACUUCAGAGGAAUGGAGAUCUCCUGCAAAUCCAUGUCGUGAAUUAGAAAAGGGACGAGAAAUGGAAAUGGACAUAUCGACAUCAAACACACUCGAGACCUACCGUUGUAGAUUUGUUAUUCUGAGAGCCAUCUUUAUUACUCAGGAUAUCACCUUCCAAUUCCAAUAAUAAUGUCCUCCAUGUCAUAGGCUGCUGCCUUUAGCUUCCUCAUCCAGACGCAGACGUCACCAUCUUUCAUCAGCCGCUUCUCCGCCCUAACCAUGCUAUUUUGGAUGGUAUCCACAGUAUCCUUGAGGCCUUUGAGCUCAUCACCUAGCUUCAGCUGCGAGGCGAUCGCCUCCCAGAUGGCACUACCUAGCAUGCCGCCGACCUUCUUCAAUGCGGCCGAGGCAAGAAACUCCCCUACCCCCACCAUGUGGCUGAAGGGGACGCCAAUCACACAGUGUGAUGAGUGCUUGACGUCAGGCCGGGUGAGGAACAGUCCCAAGAGAAAACUGGAGAAGACACAGCGAGAAAUUGUCAGAGUCUCUCUGUUUUUGACCUGAAAAUCACAACCCUUGCAGCAAACUCUGUAUCAAGGACAGGCAGGAAAUAUUUACAAGCAAGGAGGAAAAGGGCAAAUAUUUCAGUCAGAAUUGAGACAAAUAAUAGCACCCAAGGUGCGCUUUAGAUCGCACUCUGUUUCAAUUAAACUGACUCGAGAUGGAAACCCCAAUUCGGAUGCGAGGUGGAAGGAAAGAAAGGUGAUUAGUUCUCAGCUUUUACCGUGAGGGUGGUGUGUUGUGUCCAGCACCCGAUGGGAUGGCAGGUAACUAAGGCCCCGUUUGGGAGGGCUUCAGCUUCGGCUUCUCUACUGGCCGAAGCUUGAGCCCUACCAAAUGACGAGAUGGCGAAAGGCUUCGGCGGAGAAGCUCCGCGAAUCGCUCUGACUGAAGCUGAUUGAGGGAGCGGGAGCUAAAAAAAAUUGGCUCCCCGCGGCUUCUCGCGUCGUUGGACACCCUUGUGCUUCGAUGGGGCCCGCGGGUGGAGGUGGCUGGCGGUGGGCGCAGACGAGGCAUGAGGAUGGCGGCGCGGGAGCAGAAGUGGCCGGCUGCGGACAAGCCGCGACAGAGGACGGCCCAGGACGACCGGCGGCGGUGGGCACGGGGCGGAGGACGUCCGGCGGCGGCGGGCGCGGGGCAGAGGUGGCCGGCGGCGCGCGCUGGGGCGUGGGCGCGUGAAAAGGGGAGGCGGGGGCGCUAGGGACGUAUCUCAGAUGGCAGCGGUGAGAUUCAGCCGGGAGAAGGAGGCCGGGUCAGAUCUUUCACCGGGUGAGAGAGGGGCGCGGCGGAUGGAACGGUCGGUGGUGGUGGAUGGAACGGCGCGUCAGUGGAUGGAACAACGCGUCAGGGUGCCUGGGAAUCAGGGGGUGAGGAGGUGACGAUAGGGUUCGGGGCGCGAUCGAUCCUACCUCAACGUAUGCGUAAGUAGAAGAAUGCAGUGGCGAGAAAUGCGUACGCGAUGGAGAGGGCUAGAUCCAGAAGUAGCAAGUUGCCGAUUCGUAGAAGCGGAAUAAUAAGCUAGUGAUGAAACAAUGCGUUAUUAGCUCGCGUUACGUUGUUUAGGUCCAGAGAGGAGCAGCAAACUCCAUAGCUUAUAGUUUUAAUUUCUCAUUGUUUAUUGCGGCCGGUCUUUUGACAGUCUAGGGACACAGUCGUCGUAGAUCUCGGGAGCCCUGGUGGAAAACAGAUCAGCUUGCGGUUGUUUAUGUAGAGUCUCUCGAGACAAGGCAUGCAUGGCUAUACUCCCACUCACCAAGCCCAAACAGUGCCAGCUCUACUAGUUUAGUUAAUAAUGUUUUAAGUGACUUUUGCCUUUGCAGAAUAGCCCAUUCUACUACGGAGAGGCGACGAACAAGCUGACCAUGUACGUAGCUGCCUGCUUGUCGUCGACCACCACCGCAGAUUCUUCUCUUGCCAUGCAUGUACUCAGCAAAGGAGCGGACCACAUCGUCGUGCAUCUCCAGUUAUCCAGUUGCUCAGGCAGUCCAGCUACUGACCAUGCAGGACUUGUCAAAACAACAUUCCACUCACGCUCGCCUUGCGUAUCUUGUGCUUAAGAGCCCUCCAAUCGCUUUAAUUGCAAGUGGUAAUUAUGCCUUCACACUUCUCAAGAAUUUCCAUCCCAACGUUUUUUAGGCGGUCAGUGCCGACUACCUGCCAACAGUUAAUUAUUUAUUGGAUUAUUAUUUCUGACUACAGUAAGGUCGUCGCGGCACUACUUGCUUAAGUACAUUUUCUUACGUUCCUGUUGUAAAAAACAAUUGGUCAUCAUUUUUUUCAUCCCUUGCACAAAGCAUGAACAGACGAUCCAAUUUCAAAUGGGCUUUACAAGGAUUUUGCAUAAACCGCCACAAAAGUUGUAACGAUCUUACGUAAAUCCUGCAUUCCAAAUGGGGCCUAAACAUUUCAUUUGGGACCUUGGAAUGCAGACUAGAUUGUGUUCCAGUAGCUUGUAUCGUCUUUCAUAAUCACGUUGCCUUUUGUUUUAAAAGCAACAAUUUCAACUAAUAAUGCCAUAAGAUCAAAUUUGUCUACUCCAUCUCAUUUCAAAUAUAAUUCAGUCGAGCUUGUGCACAAGAAUUCAUAAGGUAGGUGGUGAAGUGACACUACUUGCUUAAGUACAUUUUCGGGCAAAAAAGAUUUGGCUACGUUCCUGUUGUAAAAUAAAACAAUUGGUUCACCCUCAGCAUCAGUUCAACAAUGGCCGACUCAUCAAACUCGGACGUCAUCUUCUGUAUAGAACUUGAACUUGAACCCGGACUCAACAGUUAGCAUCCUCGGCUCCGGAUUGAACUUGAACUCGAACCUGUCUGCCUCCUUGUGGAUGCCAUCAAGCCUCUGGUUGACGUCCCUGAUGCUGCUGCCUAUCUCGUGGGCGAACACGGGUUACGCAGGCAGAAGAGCAAUCGCUGGAAGAAAUCCUGCAUCUUUUCUAUGCUCCUGCACGUGAGGGUGAAGAUGGGGUUCCGUAGGCACAUCAACCUGCACUCAUCAGCCUUGAGUUGGCACAGGUCUAGGAUGUCUGUGUGGCAUCGUACAUGGCGUCCUUGAGCUUCCUCACCCAUCUUUGCACACUCUUGUCAGUGACGCGCACCUCCUCUCUGCAUCCGCGAGGAAAGCUUUGAGGCAUCCGGGAUGGCGGCCAUGGCUCCAGAGUACGAUCUAGCUAGUACACAAUACAUGAUCCCUCCGUUUCAGUGGGAUGAGCUCAACCGGAUCUCAAAGGAAUAUACUAUAAGGGUUGGGAUUCAACUCACACUCCUUUGCAACCAGAUAUGGGUUGAAGCGGGUCGAACCCAUCCUAACCCACUUUGACUCCAGAACCAAACACAUGAAAAAAGAUUGCACGAGGAAAAAGAAGGAAAGAGAAAUCGGCGACUCGUAGCAGGGAUGACUGUACGUUGAUUUGGUUGGUUCGGAGCUAAUGUCUUAGAAGAAAUAUCUCUGUAGGAUAAAGGAGAGAAAGUAUUUUUAUUGUGUCACGGCAGGAAUAGAGCAUUCGUCUAACGCGUUUGUCGUUGUCAAGAUUAGCGGAUCAAGACUUAGACUAGUAAAUUUCUUUUAUGCGCGUAAGGCUUCGGAUGGUGGCGUGGGAGACACGGGGUUUAGACUGGUUCGGGCAAGGGAAUGCCCUACGUCCAGUAUCGGGAGCUGCUCGUGUUGCCCACGCGGGGUUCUGUAGUAGGGGUUACAGGAGUGCGAGAGAGGGAGCUGAUCCCAGGUCUCUUGGGUGUACACUGAUGCUCUAGGUGGGUAUGAGUGUGUUUUGUGGCUUGGAGAACCUCCUUUGUCUCAGGCCCCCGGUUCUCCUUUUAUAGCGCAAGGAGGCCACCAAGGUUACAGGCGAGACCGGGUGUAUGGAGAAGUAAAAGAAAUAAACAAAGCUAGGUAAAAUACAACACAAGGGGAGGGACCAAGUCCCCAGGCCACCGGCAUCCUCGCCGGCCUUCGGCUCCUGCCGGCGCGUCUGCCGGAGGAGGGCGGCCGCCGUCACGUCCCGUCGAUGGUCUCCUCGGCGGCUGUCGCCGCCAGGCGUGAUGAUGGUGUUUUGUUGUGGCACCUGUGUCCGUUGGGGCAUUAACGAGUCAAAGUUAAUGCCCUCUCACCGUGUUAUCUUGUCUAAGUUUAAUUACAUAGUCAUGAAAUUGAUUAGAUUUUGUUAACUUAAUUGGCUUGUAAGCGGUAGGCAAGAUGUCUUUGGUGAUUGUGCUCUAGUCUUUUAUGUUGAUAGAUUGAGGUUAAUUCCCUCUCAUUCGUGUUGCCUUGUCUAAGUUCAAUACACUUAUCAAGACAAUUAUUAAGAUCUAUUAAUGUAUCUAGGUUGCGUAUAGUCAGCAUCGGCUGGUCCUUGUUGUUAUGUUCUAAUCUUUUAACUUAGUAGAUUGAUGCCAAUACCCUCUCAUUCUUGUUACCUUGUAUGAGUUCAAUACACUUGUCAAGAUAUUGGCUAGAUCUGUUAGCUUAUCUGAUAAGCAUGUGGUUAACAAGGACUCCCCUUUAUGGUUGUUGCGUUACAAUGCUUUGUCUUAGCGCGUCGGCUGAGAUAGCCGAUGGCACAUGCCAUUAAUGUUUUAUUUAUUUACACUGCAUGCUUACAUUAAAUAUCUAUCUGUCAUAGUGUUUAUUCCAAGAAUGCCUACCCAUGAGUUCGAAAGGCUUCGUCGCCGAUCGGCAAUGUUUACCUUGUCAAUUUUCAGGUCAAAUUGACUGACAGGCCUUGCACCAUUCGCGAGCUGAUUUGGAGCCUGCACUGGAGGUAAGCAGAUCUCCCAGAUCAUCCGUGUUGUUCAACGCAGAAGCCUGAAGUCCGGAUUUUGCAUCAACAGGUAUAGAGAAACAAAAGGAUCUAAGGAAAUAAAACAAAAGAAAAUUAAAGGGUAUUGAGCUACGCAGACAUAGCCAGAAUCAAAGAGGGUUUGGCUCUGAGCAACAGUAAGGAGAAUUCAGACAUAAAUUUUCUUUUACAAGCUUCGAUUAUAGGAUCAAUGUUACUGAAAAUCCGUUCGUUUCUAGUGGACCAUAUGCUCCAUAACAUUAAAAUGAUGACCUCCAUGAAGAACUGGACUUGAAGCUUGUCUUUGAUGAGCUUGAAAAUUUGAAGGAGGGGCCUUGUUGUUAUGACUGACACCCCUAUAGAGGCCCGUCAAGCCUUGGUAAAGUUACAUCUUAAGAACAUAUGGGCAACCAUUUCUAGCUUUUGAAGGAUUCACAAGUCACAAGUAUAAGAGUCUAGGAUCAUGUUUUUUCAUCUAAGAAACUCUCUUGUGCUUAAACGGUCCUUGAGACUAACCAGAAGAAUACCUCGUGUUUCAUUUGGCAUUUUGAACGUUUUGAUGUCCAAUGAUAACGGGAAGCGGCAAGACGGUGAUGUCUUGCAGUGUAGCAUUGUCAUUAGUUGACGGCCAAGAGCAGAAAAAAUUAUGAGAGAAGGAAUGAUAAUGAUUUAGCCAAGGUUGAGUGCCGAUGUGAUAUACAACAAGGGAGAACUAGGAAAUCGAUGUUUGUCAUGCACAUCCAUCCGUAGUAAGCUGAAUGAAGUGGUUGACUAGAGAGAAUGAUGUGCCCAGUAAGUGAUGCAUAUUCCAUGACCACGGUAUAGCUGGCAAAGAUCACAAAGGAGAACUCUAUCUUACUAUUACUAAUUGGAGGCUCCUUUUGAAGCCUCCAGGUGAAGCCACCUAGGAUUACUAGGUGGACACUCUAAAAAAAGAGAGAAAUCCUAGAAAUUCUCACAAAAAAGCAAAACAUCCAACCAUCAAUCUAUAGCUUCAAAUCAUCAUAGCCAUUGGAUCUAUUAUAUUUUCUAAAAAAUUACCCACCUAUGCCAUUAUGAAAAUAGUCUAAAGUAACCCCCUAAAUCUAUAUAUAAAUUACCCACCCCACCUCUGCCAUUAUAGAAAAUAAACUAAAGUAACCCCUAAUCUUAAUCAAAAUUACCCACUUAUGCCAUUGUAAAAAAUAUUUAAAAUAACCCCCUAAUUUGCGACUGAAUUGCCUACCACUAUUACUUAAAAAACUUAAAGUAACCCCUUAAAUUUGCAUCUAUAUUACCCACACAUGCUAUUAUUAAAAAUAACAUGAGGUAAUAACCCUACGUAAUGUACAACAAUAUAUGAUUCUAAAUUAUCUAUAUCUUGCACUAUUGGUAUACAAUAUAAUAAUUAAGAUCUAUACGUAUGAUGUGUGUCACCAUUUAUAAUUAAAGAUAUAAAAUGAUGGGAAUAUAGAUUUCUAUGCUAAAUUAAAGAUAUAAAGUGAUUGCAUAGAGUAAUUAUUAAUUAAAAAUUAAUCAAAACUGAAUAAAGAUAGGUACAUGUAUUAUGUUGAAGUAUUGAAAAAAUAAGAGAGUAGUAGGUAAACAAUUUUGAUCAUUAGCUAAGAGUUUAACUUCUAAAUAAUUUUCAAAUACAAUAGCUUCUAAAAAUAUUAGUCCGUGCGGGAGCACGGGUUGAUGGACUAGUAUGUAAAAUAAUAUGGGAACAUUUAUUUAUGGGGCUACAACCACCGGAUAUUGGUGAUCAAAGUAAAGAAAGGAGAUUGUCACACCCGGUUUUAAGGACAAAACCAAGUGCUACCUAUAUGUAUGCCAGGAUCAAGUUUCAUACAUAUAGUGACAUCAUAAGUGAAUAACAGCAACAGUAUCACGUAAAAAGAUACAAAUAAAGACUUACGAGACCAUCAGAGAUACACAGCUUAAAUACUGAAAACGGAGACUCCAAACUUCACAGGCAAUCGACUGGGGGUUGCGUACGCCUAGAACUCAGCAUCAUCUUCGGAACAUUUCACACACCUUCUUCUUCUGAGCAGCAGUAAGCAAGGGUGAGUACACUUAUGGUUGGUACUCAGCAAGGCCACAAGAAAUAACCAGAAUAACGAUUUGAGUCCAUCUUCAAGUUUAAUUAAUCAUGUGAGGGUCCAGGCCGCUCUUAACCGUGAGCACGGCUGAUCGAUCAGUUUUACACUCUGCAGAGGUGGCACAUCUUUACCCACAAGUCGCGUAAAAGUUCAAGGAACUUUGGACCCAACCAUGCGGUGCUAGCUAGGCACCAUACCACACUUCCGAGGUGUGAUUGCAUAGGGACGCUACGAGGCCUUUACAAAGAUUCGCUAGCAAUGUGGUAACCUGCUAAGGUUUCAGGUCGAAGCAGAACAUAGCAGUCCCCUAGUUGGUAUAGUGUCUUAGCAAAGCCCACUUCCCCCAAGAGCGAGUGCUAUAUCCCAUCAACGCCUCCCCUCUUGCCCUUUCGGUAAGAUCACCCCAGACUAGAGUUUCUAAUUAUUCAGCCAAGACCAGAGCCAUUUAGUCUUGUGGUAGCACUGUUUUCCUGGGUGGUUCUCCAUGUUCCGAUAACAUAAUCAUGAUAUUAUUAACAAAGCAUAGGUAGAAGGAUGGUUAGGGACACUUGCCUUUCUCCAACAGAAAGUUACUCUUACUGCUUUUCAGCUCUUGCUCUCUUGAAGCUCUUACUCUUCAAAACUUCCGAAUAGGGAUCCUUCUACUCAGAGCAAACAUCGGCACAAACAUGCAAGCAACAAACAAGUACAACUAAGAACAAUACACCAAAAUAAAAGGAAAGCUUUAAAAGAGCGUACUAAACGACAAGGCUCGAUCUAAGGUCACGCGAAUGUAAGGAACGCUUAAAACGGAACUAUGGUUGAAAAGAUAAAGCUAUCGAGCAUUUUAAAUUAUAAAAGAAAGAUGAGAGCUACAAGCUUCAUUUAUUUUAGUUGAGAAAAACAAUGUAAAGAUAUUUCACAGAAAUAUCCUUAGUUAGAAUUAAUCAAGUCAUAUUUAUAUUUUCAUAAGAAAAGACGGUGUAAAGCUUAGUCCAAUUUUAUUUAUAAAUAUUUAAGUAUAAUUUAUGCAAUUUAAACAUUUAAUAAAAAAAAUACAUGUAGACAUCUAAGCGUAUAGCUUUACAUUUCGACUUCAACUAAGUAGAUUAAAUUAAAAACAUAUUUAUAUUUAUAUUAGCCAAAUUAAUAUUUAAUUAUGAAAACUCGAGAUAUAACCUAUAUAUAUUUUAUUUAGAAAAAAAAUUAAAUAAACAUUAAUCAAAUUGAAUUUAAUUUAUGAAACACCAAGGUAUAACUCUAAGUGGCUUUUAAUUGAAAGAAUUAUUUGGACAGGCAUUAAUCAAUUUAAUAUAAAAUAUAUUUUCAAAAACAUGUGUGAAGGAAAACUUUACCACUAACGUGUAAUUUACAUCAUUAUGAAUCUAAUGCAACUUGAACGGACAAAAACGGAAUUAAAACGUAGAAUCUAUGGUUUAAACAAGGUUGUAGGGGUCUAAACAUAAUUAACCGUAUACUUGGAGGGUUAGCUGAGAAGAUUACCAAGACUCAGAGAAUAGUCACUGCGAAUAGAUGGAUCUUCGGGGUUAGAUCUGCAAAAGAGGAUGGCUUGGAUCAGAUUGCAAGGAACUGAAAGUUACAGGGGGUUUUCUACAAGGUUUGAAAGACACAAGAAAUAUGAACAAAAAUUAACAGAUUUUCCAGGGGCUAGAUCGAAAAGCAGCGCUUCAUCUUCUUCCUCACGCCAGGAGCAUGGUGCAGCUCCUGGCCGGCGGCCUGCCGGCGUUCUGGUGCGGCGGACGCCCGGGCGGGUGGUGCAGCGCGAUGCGCAGGGCAAGGAGGCGAUGGUGCGCGUGCAGGCAAUGGCACAAGCGAGCCGGAGGUGCUGGGCGAGCAGGAUGAACGGACCAGGCGUGCUGGCCCAAGUUGCGUACAGAAACACAGAAACAGGAGGGAAAGAGAGAAGGAGGGGGUAGCCGGAAACGAAAUCCGAUCUCGCGCAUGAACGGCAAAAUGGAACGAUAUUGAUGAGACGAACAAGAUGGUGUGCUCACCUUCGGCCAGAGACGAACAAUGGCGGCGGAAAAGCUCGCCGGAGUUGGGGAAGACGACGGAGCCGACAUCGGAUUCAUGCAAUUCACCACACCACGGCGUAGAGCUCGAAGAGAGGAACUCCAUGGUGGUGUCGGUUUUCGCCGGAAGUCCACGGUUUCGCCGGAAAAGCUCGCCGGAGUUUGACGAAGACCGAACUUUGACUUCACAUCUACGGAGUUAGGAGAUGCAACUCGUGAAAAGGUUUGCAGAUCUGAAAUCCUCGCGUCGAGACGAACGCGGUGAUAUAUAUAUAGGCCACACUCGGAAAAAGAUAUUUUCGAGUUGACUUUUUAUUUUCGGAAUUUCUGAUUUUAUUUAUCUGCGCGAAAACAAUUCCAGAAAUAGCUGGACUCGUUUUCUAAAGCGAGAAAAAUACCUAGAAAAUUCCGAAAAAUCUGAGAUAAAUCUCAGAGAUGGAUUGGGAUACAAAGAAUCCAAAUAAAAUACUUGGAGCUCGUGAAAAGGAUUCUAAAGCCUUCCAAAAAUUGGAUUUAGCUCUAGGAAAAGGAGAAUAAUUUUCAGAAAAAGAUGGAAAAAAUCCUCACAAGGGUCUGGGCAACGUCUAAACGCAUUUUUCAAACUUUUACACUCAAGAAACACCAAGAUGCAGUGACAUGAAUGCACAGACAUAGAACAACAUUAUUUAAUUUAGAAAAGCAAACAAUUAGUUUCCUAUACUAAAUUUCCUGUAAAGAAAAAUAAAUGUUGGGAAAAUUUUAAAAUGAUGAGAAAAUUAUUGUUUAUUUAUUCUUUUUAUUCACAUCCUGAAAUUUGGAAAUUUCAGGGUGUGACAGAGAUGAUUACUUCUGGUGCUAUACAUUGAAUCACUAACCUUAAUCAUGCAUUGUACCUCAAACUCUCAAGCAAAAAUUUACAUCACCAGCCAAAAUAAAUGUCAUAUUCAUGUUAAAUAUAUAUAUAUAUAUAUAUAUAUAUUAUUGUCAGUACGCACCAAAAAGUGUGUGUGUGUGUGUAAAAGGUACUCCCUUUUCUCUCCUAUCAUGUUCAAAAAAUACAGAAUAUAAUGAUGGAAAAAAGCAUAGACGACACUUUGGUCUGGGCCAUUAGGACAAAAACAAUUACAAGGAUAUGACUAAACAAAACUAUUUGCAUCCAUUUAUUUAUAAAUAAACAUCCAAAAGUAGGUUAAAAAAUAGUACCCACCCUAUUUGUGCGGGCCACAUUGCUAGUUUGACUCACAAGACUGAUCAUUUAUAGCAUGGGGAGAUGGAAAGGGAGAAGAACACAGCGCUUUUAUAUUCCCCAGCAUGCAGCUGGCAAGAUUGUGGAUGAGCAUGACCAUCACGAGCUGGUUAAUAGCCAUGGGAUCGACGACGAACCUGGUUCCUCCAGCCUCAAAAUGGGUUUUACGAUUUCUCCGGACCAUUUGGCAAGCUCGCUCUCCAAGUGUUGCUUGAGGCCGUCAUCAUAGGGACUGCUAAGCCAGACUUCCACCAGACCUUUUAUCUUCUGUAGGCCAGAGAACCGCAGUGCUGACACACACCUGCAGCGAAUCCUCAGCACCUUAAGAUAAAAGUCAUCGUGAAACGUUAUUGUAGCUGGCAACCUGGCGUCAUAAGAGAUCUCGAGGAAGGAUAAGAUGACAGGAUUUUGUCUACCAAAAUGGAGGUCAUGAAACUCUGACAAAAAAAGACGUGUAUUCUCCGGCCAACCAGGACUGUCAACGAGAUCUUGCUGCAACAUAAUCAUCUGUAAACUCAAUUUUGUGAGAUUCUUAAGCUUUUUGGUCCAUACUGGUAACUUGCUUACCAGCCCGUAUAACUUAAGACUCCGUAGGUUCACUAGAUGUUCGAAAGAGAUGCCGUCCAUGGUGCCAGCUUCAUCGUCCUCAUCGACCUGCAUUCUCAAUGACAACGAUUCCAGAUGGGCAAGACCUGAGAUGGCUGAAAAAAGCUUCCAGAUGUUGUCCCGGUUAAUGCCUGACACUCCAAGUUUGUGCAACUGAGUAAGCUUCUUGAGCUCCUCUAGAAUGGCGUCCCCUUUUCCAGUGCCAAUAUCAACGUCACCCAGCGUGUGCAAGUUAGAAAGUUUCCCAAUACCUCUGGGCACCUUCACGCAAUUAUGAGAGCCAUCGUCGAGAUGGUGGUAUCUGCUCAACUUGGACAACAAGCAGGACCCCAGCUGAGUAGCACAUGGCCAGCUCAUUGGCGUUGCGGUUAGUGAUGGGUUCUCUGCUGCUUCUGUAGCUUGAUGAUGCUUGGUGGUACCAGCACGAAUGUACUGCAGUUUCUCCAGCUUGAUGAUGCUCUCUGGUAGCUUCAUCACAGAUGUUUCCCUGAUAUCCAGAGUUUGGAGGUGCUUCAGAUCGCCCAGGGAAUCUGGCAGAUGAGUGAUUUCUCGGCACCUUCUCAGGGAAAGGAACUUCAAGCAGGGCAGCAGCUUCACCAUCUGCUCGACGUCACCAUUUGUUACACCUGAAGACACGUCCUCCAGAUCAAGCACACGGAGCAGCCUCAUCUUUUCAGAGAUGAAGAACGAUUUCCACUCACCAAACACUGUCAAAGAUCGCAGCCGGGAAAAGUCAAUGCUCUUAAACACAUUUCUGUCUCUGUCCCAGCUUCGAUCUAUGGCAAGGUGACGUCCCGUGCGAUGGAAGUUCUUUUCGCAAUGGCCCUCUAGUGCAAAGACAAGAUUAUCUUCCAUCGACUGUGAUAUGAUGUAUUCACGGAAGAAACCAUUAACUUGGCACAAUGGCAUCCUCUUGGAUUGCUGAACUGAUGCUGCUGUUGUUUCUGUUGUUCGUGGCACCUGGACCAUGCUUAGACUGACGAGCUUGGAAAAGGAUAUCUCCCCGUUUUUCUCUGCGGUGUUUUCUUUACUGUCUCUAGAGUAUCCCUCCGCGAUCCACCGUCUCACCAAACGCCUCCGCCGGAUCGUGUGGUUCAGAGGGAAGAUUGACAGGUAGAAUAUACAUGGCUUGAGGAUAUCUGGGCAGGAACGGAAGUAGGAAAGCAACCAGGCAAACAGAUCUUCUAGGCUUGGUUUGUCCUUCAACGCAGACACAAGGUUAUCUUUUCUGAGAAAAUCCCAAAAGAAAUUGCGUCGCGAUCAUCACCAGCUAUAGCGCAUAUAACUUUGGGAAGUCCACCACACUUGUGCAAGAUUUGCAUUUUGUCCUCGGUCCCUUGUCUCUGAAGGUUAUAUCUCUGAGAAACAUAUUGUCCAAAUGAUAUAUAUAUAUAUAUAUAUAUAUAUGAAUAAAUUUAUUUAUUACCAAAAAAAGAUAACCAUAACGAUGGCAUAAAAAAGAGUGUAAAAUUUCUCUUAAAAAAAAACCAAAAACAUCCCGCCCUGAGAUAUUAUGCAGCUACCAUGCAAAUUUGGCAUGUAUAGAUUACUGCAUACUACAAGGUCAGUCUUGAAUUGGAUUUUGAAAAUAGACUAUUUGCUGGAUUAGGUACAUUUGUUAGUUACACCUUCCAAUAAAAAUGGACUAUUAAUUUGACGCAAUACAUUUAUGAGACAAACCUUUUUCAAGAUAAAUGCUAAAGUUAACUGUUGAAUCUAGCCGUGCCCUACAAAUGCACGGGCCACCCCACUUGUUAUUUCUAAAUGAUAUAAGUUUGAUGCUGACAUUGUGCGUUUUUGUUGAUGUCUAAGCACAUGGACAACAUUGUAAGUAAUAUGAUUUAAUUAGGAUAAAUAAGCUGUGAUGUGGUCUAAGACGAAGAGGGAACAUAUGUUGUUAUGACAAGUAUCAAGUCGUUCUCCAGAGUCCAAAAAGUAAAAUAUGACCUUCAUUCCUACCUUGAUCCCAAAUAUCAGCCUAUUUCAAUUAUGUAUAAGAAUUUAGGUGGUCUACCCAUCACUUAUUGUUGCAAACAGUAAGGUAGUUGGAAUGUCUAUUUCAUUCAAUAAGCACAACUAUAUAGGGGCAAAAUAGGAAAGGGUGGGGUCAAAUAGAGCUGCCACGAUGUUUGCUGCUGGACAUGUAAAUAUGGCAUAUAUAAGAUGCCAUGCAAGAACGUUUAGUCUACAUGACAGUGACUAAACGAAGAGAGAGAGCAAAACUAUCUCUUCACCAAGAAAUGGAUUUGGCACAUGAUAUGAUGACCAGCACAAUUGACAAUGUUAUAUAAACAAUGCUCUACCAUUGUAUAUCUCGUCUAUGUGUCAUCAUUAAUUAGUAUAUAAUUGUUGAGAAACGAUGACAUAAUAAAAAAAUCUCAUUAUAUGAGCUAUUUAUAUUACUGUCUUUAUGUGACAUGACAAAAACUUUUAGAUGGUUGUUGUCUAACGGUUGUACAUGCCCUAAUUGUUGAGGUAAUAGAUAUGCUAGAUGGACUUCUAUUGGGGAUAAUAUAGUUCUCCAUUUUUAUUAAAGAUUUUCUUGGUUUAGAAAGUGCUUGCAUGAAGCUAACUAAACAAGGAAUUUUGUGCAUAAGAUGUUAAAUCUAAUUCAAAGAUGGAACUCAUUGGUAUACUGAAGGAAUUAUUAGAAUUGCGGAAUGCUUAUUGCGAGUAAACGGACCUCUGCGAUGAGUUCAAAGGCGCUGUCAACUCCGAGACCUUUGACAUUCCACACAUUCUUGCUGUUUGUUGCGCAGUAUUGUGCGACACAUUCUUCAUUGGUAAUGACAAAUAUAUCCAAGCCGAAUUUUUUGGUUCCUAGUUUCAAGGCAGCUUCUAUCAUGUCCCAUUCUUCUGUAGAUUGCAGACCGUCGAUAACAAUUGUGCAUCCAAAUUGUUCAUGUAGAUAUUCACGGCACUCUUGAAUUAGGUCUUUCAUCGUUGACAUCUGGCGGUCAUGGAGAUAUCCAGGAUUCAAAUCCAAAAGUAAGCGCCAUGACAAGUCCAUCAAAUCGAAUGGAUGGGAUACAUUCACCCAACCGAACUUGAUAUAAGGAUCUUCAAUCCGCAUCUCGUAGCAGAGAUGUUUGACAAGAAAUGAUUUGCCAACACCAGACAUCCCCCACACAGAGGACACAGGCCCAGUACGACGAGACCUGCGCAUAGAGAAACAAAGUAAAUCCGCCUCUUGGCCAACAAGUGGAUGUUUGUCCAGCCAUUCACGAGCAGUUUCCCGCAAGUCCGCCACGGUUUGCUCAACUUUUCCGGGCGCAUCCUGCAAAGAAUUGGAAAGAGCAUUGUCAAUUGGGUUUAUUUAUUGUGUCAAAAUUACAUCCUUGUAGAAGACAACAUACAUGCUCCGAGUGAAGUAAAAUGCAUCCAACAAAGACAAACAUACACGCGUGCAGUAUUAUGCUUUAUUUGUAGCAUCCAUGCAGCAAAAGGUUAAGAAGCAUGAAUCAGUUUUAUAUCACCUGGGCAAAAUGAUCUGAGUAUUCAAUAACACACUUUGACUAUCAAUAUAUAUCAUAUAUUAUAAUACUCAUGACCAUAAAAUUGGCAUCAUAUGAAAGUGCUUUCAAAUUGGAAUGAUAUGAUAAAAGUUUGUACGGUAUAAAAUUUACAAAUCCUUGAUAAUCCAUUGAUACCAUGUUGUAUAGUUAGAAAAUUUGAAUGUUGGAUCUUCGAAACACCCAGUGUUCGAUAGGCACAUCCUUCUAGAUAAACCAUUCUUUACUUUAGAGGUCAAAUCAAAAUGUUGGAUAAUUCUGCGAUCCACAAAUUAAUCACCUAUGUACAACCAUGCCAUAUACUACACGAUGCUAACCGCAAUUUGUGGUUGCCUGAACACUUGCGUCUCAGUCCCACAGACCAUCCGUUGCUUCCACAGUUUAACCUAGAGUAAUCACCGCCAUCCGCAGCUUGUUCAGUACCCCUUUCAUAGUUUUUUCUUUUGCGGAAUUCAUAGUUCUUCCUCGUGAUCCUAUAAUUUAACUGUUUUGAAUUUCUCAACCCCUAUGCAUCAACUAUUUACAAACGCAAAAUGAUGAAAAAUAAUAAUGGCAUAAUUGGCAUGUAAACUAAGUUUUGUAGAAUUACAUUAUGAAGCACAAGUCAGGAAUGUGAUAACAGUCAAAUACGUGCAUUGCAGACCACGUUGAUGCAAAAAUGUAAUGGAAGUAGAAGAGCGAGUAUAUCAUUUUAUUGGAAAUAAUUGAGCAUACCUCCUCGACAAGGGCAUAGACAGAGUGAUGAGCCGAGAUUUUUUCAAGCUCCAAUAGUCGGUGUGGAUGCCUGACACAAAGGCUUGCAACUUCAAACUGAUGCGUGCUGACGAUGAUGCAGCUGCCGUUCUUGUUGUCUGGCAGGUAAGCCCUUACCGCCUCCCAGUCAUCCAUGGUGGUCACGUCUUCAAGGACAACAAGGUAAUUUUGACGGCACAUUUGCUUCAUGAAUUCGUUGAUCAGAACGCCUUCUGUGGCCACCGUCAUCUUCACAACAAAAUCUACGGUAGCGCUUUCUUGUGGACUAUAGCUUCUGCAAAAUUGGGCCACCAAGCGCCUGAUAAAUUCCCGGGCAUUGAAAGGAUGCAUCAGCUUCACCCAGGCGCGGCAUCUGAAGUUGGUGCAGAUUUGUGUGUCUUCAUAGGCCUUCUUGAUGACGGACGCCAUCCCAACUGUUCCUAACAACGAGAUCACUUGAAGGGCAUGGUCACCUUUCCCGCUGAUCAACUUGACGAGUGCCACAGGUGGCCAGAUGGGCUCCCUGGCGGCUUCCCUCGCUGUGGCGGAACGAGGGAGGAUGUUUGAUGCUGUUGCGCUGGCCGCACCCUGCUGAUGCGUCUGCUCGGCAGGCUUGGAGCCAGGGUUACCGGUGUGGUUGUAGCGCAGGUUCCGCUGACCCAUGGCCUCGACCCUAGCCUUGAGUAGCUCUAUACCAGCGACAGCGUUGUCCAAGGCCACGGCCGGCGCCGCCGCUGGUACCCAGGAGGGGAGCAUGCGGCGCCACCAGCUCGAUUUGUUGUCCAGGUAGAGAAUGGAGUCAAUGCAGUCCUCCACGUCCAGGGCCAUGUCGCGGACCUGCCUCACGCAAGUCGUCGUCAUAUCGUCCGCGACACGAUCCUUGGCAACGUUGAGGAAGGAAUGCAUCAUCUCGAACUCGUCCGAGACAAGCAUAAGGUCACGCUGAACGCUCUUCUGCAGCUGCUUCUCCUCCUCAAUAGCGGACUUGGCAAUAUUCACCGUCUCCUUGACCGCCGACUUCGCCAAACCCAGCACAAGGUCCGCCAUUGCACUCCCGUUCACUCUUCGAUCUGUGUGAGGGGAGGUGGGUGGGUGGGUGGGUGGUGUACAAGAUAGAACCUGGUGACGAUGCUUGCAAAUAUAUAUUAUGCUUCAAAAUCAUGCAUGACAUCGGCUGCAAGACAGAAAAUUUGCACAUUAUAAAACAAGAGUGUCGCAGUAAAAGAAGCCAGUUAGAUUCCCUAAUUAAAUUAACAGUGGGCUUUCCCUUAUGGUCUUAUUUUUAGGGCUAAAAGUUGCUUAUUUGGAGGAACUAACCUCAAUCCUACCUGUUUGGUUCCAUGAGCAAAACAACAUUUAAUAAGGUGAAGAAUGAUUUGUUUACCUCUAAUCAUUGCGACGCGUGGGGGGAGAGAGAGGAAUCAGAUAGGCAUUGAAUGAGAGCAAUGGGUGUCCAGUGCACCUUUUAGUCCAAAUAAGCAACCCAAAAUUACCUUAUGGACUAAACUUUAAAAGCUAAACUUUAACUUAAAUAAGCAAGGAUGUUCGGCUCUUUAUUUGGUACUAUAAAAGGGACUAAAAUUUAAUCUCUAAAGUUUAGCAAGGGUACAGCCCCUUAAUCUUCGCCGGCCAAGCACUUAAAUUAAGCUAGGUCAGACAGCUGAUGCAUCGAACGCAGCAGCAGUGAAAAACAAAUAAAGGCCAGUGUGCUCUGUAAGAAAUAUAAACCAAUAAAAUACAUCUUGGCAGAAUGGGGUCAAGUGGGUCUAUAGUCUAUUCUUGUGGCAGUAAGCUGAUCCUUUAUAAUACCGCUGGAUCGGAUCUCGAUCUCCUUGAUUAGCGCUCCACUAGCCCACUAAUGCUUGUCUCGUACUCCAACCACCGAUACCCAGCCCAAAAACUAUGCAUCGGGGAUUCACUUAACUUUUUAUUAUUUCGAGGUCUAAUUAAUAACACUGUUUGGAUUACGUAUGGGUUGCCUGCUGCUGGUAAAUACAUCUAUUUAUCUUUCAGCAAAAGCAUGCCUGCUGGGAAAUAUUAGUUCUGAAAUCUGAGCGCAUACCAGCUGUCAGUUAACAUAUUGUCUGUCAGCAAAUCCCUGCCAGAGCUUACGAUAAGUGGUCCGUCAGCAGACGUCAUCCCCCAACGGAUAAAGUACCCCAUAUUGCCUUCUUCAAGUUUCAUGAUGAAUGCAAUUCUCACACCUUGAAAUUUUUGGAUCUCACGAGGUGAUUAGGAGGAAUAAUUAAACAAUCAUUUUCUCGUAAUUUUAAAAUUUUUCAACAUUUGUUUCUUGACAGAAAAUUUAGUGUAGGAAUAUAAUUGGUUGUGUUUCCUAAACUAAAUGAGGUUGUUCUAUGUGUGUGCAUUCAUGCCCAUGCAUCUUGGUGUUUAUUGAGUGCAAAGGUUUUAAAAUGCCUCUAGACGACGACAAGGUUCUUCUGAGAAUUUACCAGUUUUUUCUGGAAAUUAUUCUCAUUUUCCUAGAGCUAAAUUCUUUUCACGAGCUUCAGUUAUUUUAUUUAGACUCCUCGUGUCCCAAACUAUCUCUAGGAAUUUUUCUGGAAUUUUUAGGAUUUUCAGAGUAUUUUUUGUGGGUUUUAUUGAAUUAUCUGGAUUUUCCUUUAUACGGGAAAUUACUUCUGAAAAGAAAAAGAAAAGAAAACCUCAACCUACCCUUUUGGGUUAAGCCCGCACCCACAAGCUCUACCAUGGCCCAACUCUCCUUCCCACCCUCGGGCCUCAUUGGCUCAGCCCAGUCCAGGCCCGACCAGCCCAGCCAGGCCCAACCGGGACCAUCUGCUCUACAGCUCUCUCCCAAGCUGCACAGGCAAGCAACGCCACCACCAAACCUUUUUGGUGUGUGUGCCACGCCAGGCGCAACCACCGGCGCCCUAUCAAUAGCGAAGCCCGACCCCCGCACGCCACUGCCAUCCUCGCAAGCCACCCUGCCUCGCCUGUGCUGCACCGCCGCCUUGCAAGCCCGCCAGCCGAGUCGGGCACCGCCACCGACUUUCCACUCGAUUCACCAGCUCCGCUGCCCGCCGGACGAAGCCGGCCCCUUCUAGAGCUUCGGGACGUCGUACAACGGUAGAAGCACCAUCGGUGUAGCCUGGGAGGAUGAGCCACAGCGACGGCUGCGUUCUCUCACCGUAUUAACUCACGUACACGUAAGAUGAACUAGCUUUGCUGGCGGUAUACAGACGCCCUCGCAACCACCGUGUACGUGCCCUAAUCUGUCCUGAAAAUUCUAGAAUGCCUUAUAUUAGGAUAGAGGGACAGAGGUGGUACUCUUCAAAUAUCUAGCCCAAAAACCAUGUCAAGAACUUACAACAUGCCUAUAAAUACCCGACUCAAUUCAUUGCAUGCUGCGACACUCCUACCUUUUGCCUUUUUCUUAACAAAUCCUUGCAAUGUAAAUAUAAAUCAUAAGCAAAUCAAAUCAAUCGAAAUUUUUUAUAUAUCGUUUCUUUGUAAAUAGCCACACCAAGAACAAUGUCUUGUAGUCUGAACAGACGAAAAUGGUGGAUGCCUUGGCUUGCUCAGGUGGCUUCUCAAACUUGUAGUCUUAAUUGAUGAAAAUGGUAAUUGCUUUGACUUGCUCGGGUGUUUUUUUGAGCCCUGGCAACCUGCCAAUUGCCUCACCAAACAAGUUGAUAGCUAGAGUUGCCCAAGCUCAAAAAGAUUAUUGUUCUUUUCUCCUUCAAUAAUGAUUUUGCUCCCAUGUUUUGUGAAGCGCUUUCCACGAUUGUUUUCACAACAUGUUCCAUACUUAUAGCUCAAUGCAAUGCAAAAGCAUCCACAUAUUCCAAUAUUAAUUCACUGGUAUGUGGAAUAUCCAACACCUUCUUGGAUUCUAAAAAUUUUGUGCCCAAGUAUCAAUAUCAGGUGCAACAUUUUCGUGUCAGUUUACCUGUCCGCAUUGCUUCACAUAUCCGUACCUUGUCAAGAAAGGUCUAUUUUCCUGACAGAGAUUUCAUUACCGUCAGUGCAAUGUGACCUUCCACAAUAGCCUGUUGCCGCUUGGUGUCCAUUGUGCUGCCACGGACGGAGUGAUCCCUUUUACAGUUUCUUUCUUUUGUUUUCUGUGGAGGACUUGAGAAGAGUCCGGUUUUCUAGAGAAUACUUUGUGCAAAUGAACAGAAGUAAUGUUCCUCCCUUCUAUACGAAGUUCACGUUAGGUGAGUACUCGAUCAUGUUAUUAAUUUAAUACUAGAUACUCCUCGCUCCAUAUGGUUGCGUGAGUCCGCGAAACUUGCUGACAUUGGCUUCUAGAGCGAGGAAAUAUGUUAACAGGAAUGAGAAUAUAUAACAAGCAGCUCGUACAACUAAGUGCGCGCCUUAUCACCUAAUCACCUAGCCAAGCAUCUAAUCACGUGGGGUACCUUUUUUUAUUUGUCUCCUCUUUGAGUAUCCUAUGCUUGACUUGAACCUAGUCUUGCGUAACCAAUCCAUCUUCUCCCGGGUUACUUUACAAGUUUUGAACUGAAUCAACAUAAGGGGCCUCUCAUAUCAGAACCUCGCUUUGCUCCCUUUCGUUGUGUUCUCCCAGCUAGGAUCCCUCAACUGUUUUUCUCGGCCCCGAGGUUAGUACCUUUAAUCAAGAAGCUGGUGUUUUUUCUGUUCCACAAACAGUUAAACAUAUCUAUGUAUAUUUUGUAAUUAUGUCUAGUUGUAAUACAACUGUUUUGUUUGGAUAAAAGAUCUAGUUGUAACGAUAUGAGUUGUAGCAGCUUAAAUCUAUAUCUAAAAUCAUCAGAAAUGGACACUGGUUCGAGCACGCCAAGCCUGCUGAGUACAGUGCCGAAGGAUCUAUCAGCAGCAUUCCUGCGUGAUAUUACGGAUGGUUUUUCCACUGACAGAGAAAUAGGACAAGGGGCGUUUGGAACAGUUUAUAAGGUAUGUUUACGACCUUUUCUGCGUUUUUCAGAAACUGGUAGGCAUGCCAAUAUAUAGUAUAUGGACGGUUAAACAGGGAAUCCUCCCAGAAGGGGAUUGUAUUGCUGUGAAGAAGCUUGUGGAUGAGGACAUAUAUGACAAACAAUUUCAAAAUGAGAUUACGCAUCUUAUGAAUGUCUGUCAUGAAAAUAUUGUGAGGAUAGUUGGCUUCUGCCAAGAACGUGAAAAGAAAGUUGUGGAGCAUAAUCGAAGAUAUAUUAUUGUAGACUCAGUUGAAAGAUUUAUCUGCUAUGAGUAUUUACCAAAUGGGAGCAUUGAUAAGUGUAUAUUUGGUACGGUAAUUUUUUAUCUUUUCUUUCUUUCUUCACUCAUACUUUUUAAUUUGGAGUGUGGAUAUCAAUUGUUAUAUAUUACUUCAGUUUCCUGCACUAAAAUAUUAUUCUCUCCAUCCCAAAUUACUAUUGCUUUUGUUUUUUCUAGAUAUAUAGUUUUUAUAUGCACCUAGAUAUAUAUUAUCUCUAGGUACAUAGAAAAUGUUAUGUAUCUAGAAAAGUCAAAAUGAAUAGUAAUUUGGGACGGAGGGAGUAUGAUGGAACUGAUUAUGGUUCAGGCUAUGAACAUACGCUUUCUAGUCACUAUGUUAUGAAAAUUGAUGUUUUGGAGGUCCUUAUACCAGAUUACUCAUAGAGGAUCUAUCCUUUUUUCUUUCUUCAGAUGAUACACUUAAUUGGGCUACACGCUUCAAAAUUAUUAAGGGGAUCUGCCAAGGUUUACAUUUCCUACAUGAGGGAAUGGAAACACCUACAAUUCAUAUGUCUCUUCAGCCUGCCAAUGUAUUGUUGGAUGAUAGAAAGGUGCCUAAAAUUACAGAUUUUGGUUCGUCGAGAGUCUUUGGUCGUGCUGAUAAAUCAAUGAUGAUCACACAAAACCCUGUGGGAGUAAUGUAAGUUUAAUUCAGAUAGUGCAAUAAGAGUACUUUCCCAUCAAGUAACAAUGCUUACGAAACUCUUGUUGGUAAUGUCAUUCAGUGGAUACAUGGCUCCAGAAUAUCUUUAUAGAGGUGAAAUCUCAACCCAAGCAGACAUAUAUAGCCUAGGCUUAAUGAUAAUCGAGAUCACAACUAGGAAGAAGAAUUAUUCAGACGAUCGAGACAAGUCUGCCCAGAGAUUUAUUGAUGAAGUAAGGCAGUGUUGAUGAUUAGUUGAUUACAAAAUAAUUUUCAUAGAAGCAUGUGUUACAUUUAUUUCGUGUAUCCGUUUUUACAAAAGAUAUAUUUUUAUUUUUAUUUCGUGGUUUAUUAGUGAGUAUUAUGAGUUGAGUUAUGUAGGUGCGCCAGACAUGGACGGAUGAUGUGUACAUUUUAUCCAAAUACUCCCAAUUGGAUGCAGGCUUACUGCAAGAAGUAAAGGCAUGCAUUCAAACUGGGCUUAAGUGUGUGGAUAUUGAUCGCAAGAGAAGACCUUCCAUAUCUGAAAUUGUUAGACUGCUCAAUGCUGCAUGGUAAACGGUGGACGAGGUAUGACUAGGAAUAGCAUACAUUCCCUCUGGUCUUUGCACAUACUUACCAAAUUUUACUUUGCACAUAUAUAUUUAAAGUCCUUAAUAUUUAUGGGAUUUUGCAAGUGUUGCUCAAUACAAUUCCACAAAUACAACUUGCAUGCUUUCAAACUUAAUAAUGUAAAAGUUAUUGAUGUUUUUAAUUUUUAAUCUUUGACAAAACCUUGUCCUAAACAACAUGUUUUUUAUGACUGGAGUUACGGGGUGUUUGGAUACGAGGUGUUAAACUUUAACAGUGUCACAUCGGAUGUUCGGAUACUAAUUAAGAGAACUAAACAUGAGCUAAUUAUAAAACUAAUUGCAGAACCCUGUGCUAAUUCGCGAGACGAAUCUAUUAAGCCUAAUUAAUCCAUCAUUAGCAAAUGGUUACUGUAGCACCACAUUAUCAAAUCAUGGACUAAUUAGGCUUAAUAGAUUCAUCUCGCGAAUUACACUCUAUCUGUGCAAUUAGUUUUGUAAUUAGCCUAUAUUUAAUACUCCUAAUUAGCAUCUAAACAUCCGAUGUGACGGGUGUUAAACUUUAACACCUGGUUCCAAAUAGGCCCUUAGUAUAUGAUCACUAAUAGUUUUCUUAGUUUUUUGAGAGGAGAGGAGUUUUCAUAGUUUUACAUGCAACAACUACAUAUGAUCACUAUUAGUGGAAUCUUGUACUUCUAUAUAUGGCAAACUGAUCAGGUGAUCUUAACAUGCUAUCUCAAACUACAGGUCUACAUAUAUACCGUGUUCGCAUCAUGAAUAAAAGUUGUCAUUGUGGAGAAGACAUGGCCAAGAUGAAAUAAAGCAUGCUCUAUUAUUUCUAGAAGACCUGAACUUUUCUAUCACAACUAAGAUUCCUUUGAUGUAAUUUCAUUGUGGAAGCUACAUUUACUCCUCUUUUGGAGAUUGACACUCCAAAAGUGAUUUUCGAAGACACCCCAUUUACGGCACAGGUGGUCCACAAGGGAAUACGCUAGGGUCCUCAGUCAUGGAAAGCCUAUAGAAAUGAGUUUCCAGAGAAUGUUGGUUCAGCCGAUCAUGUCUGAAAAAGGUUGCUGACUUAAGUGACUGCGUUAGGAAAUCCCCAUUACUAGACGUAGACACUUAAGCUGAUGGACUAGAAAUUGAUUUCAAGAGAUGGUUCCUCAAUUUGGGCUGCCUCUAGAAACUGUUUUCCACAAGAGGCAAAAGAAAAGGUCAUCCCAUUUCCGUUAUCAAUAGGUUUGUGGUGGGAUGGCAAGGGGGGAUGUUGUUGUGGGUUUAAAGGUUGACACCCCCCCCCACACACACACACACAUUUCACGCAAAAAAUUGCAUGUGUGGUGCAGCUCAAUGGUUUUUACAAAUCUUUUUGUAGUUUUUCCAUGCCCAAUGUUAUCGUAGACAGACCGACAUAACCAAUGUCAUGUGGAAAUGCAUUUUUAGAGGUAAUUAAUUCCAGAGGUAGUGAACUUAGGGAACUUCCUCUAAAAAUGUCUUUUCUUAAUACGAUUGAUUGUCCACCUAUGAAAAUGCACCAUUUCCAUAUGCGAUGUCACACCUGGUUUUAAAAAUAAAUCAAAUGUACACCAUAUGUGUGCCAGGAUCAAGUUUCAAACAUACAACAAGCCAAUAGUGAAUAACAGAUACAGUAUCAUGUACUAACGAGUUCAACUAAUACAAAGUGACAUAAAUCUCUAAACAAAAUAAACAUACAAACGUCUCCUAGCAGCGGAUUACCAUUCUCCAUAGGCAUUCAACUGGGGGAACAUACGCCUAGCACUUAUGGAAAUCUUCUAAUACUAACAUCCUCUUGUUCUGAGCAGCAUUCAUUGUGUGGUACAAAUAUAUGUAGGAAAUAGCAAGUGUGAGUACAUGCCGUACUCCCACUACUACAGAAGAGGCCAUCACCGCUGGGCUAUCACCACCAGUUAUAGAUGAAUCAUUUGUGAUGCCUUUUCACUGUCGGUUUUGGAGCAAAUGGGGGCAGCAGCCUUUACAACCGGCGGUGGUGCUCGUUUUCAUUGCCGGUUCCUUAUUGAGCCGCUAGUUUCAAGCAAGAGCCAGCAGCGAUACUCGAUGCGAACCUGAAAUUUUUCUUCAACCCAAUUUAGAAAACGACUUUGCGUCCACUUGCCUCCCUCUCCCCACUCCUCCCCUCCCCCACCCUCUCUCCACCCCCUCCCUCUCUCCCUCUCACCCCAGCCCUCUAUCCCACUCUCCGCGGGCCCCCUCCCUCCCUUCCUCUCCCGCCGGCCCUCCCCUUCUCUCCCUCUCCGUUCGCCGCCCCUCCGCUUGCUUCCGCACCCCCCCCUUUCCCCCUCCACUCGCUACCCCCUCGGCCUGGCAUAGAGGAGCGCUGGCAGCGUGCAGGGAUCCGCAGCGGCAUGGCAGGAUCCGCGGCUGGCAGUAGGGAUCCACAAUGCAGCGAGGCUCCAGUGACAUCAAGAUGUGCGGGGUAAGCAGCGGCAGUGACAAGGCCGGGUCAACGGUGGCGGCUGCAGCGUGAGUAGCAGCAGCGAUGCUACCUAGGGGCCCACGGUGGGCGCGGUGCGAUGGCGGUGGGGACGCCAGGUAUAUUUCUUCUUUUUUUUGUGAUGUGCAUCACCGUCAGUUCCUGGUUUAGCGGUGAUAGGGACUCCUAUCACCGCCGACCUAAUAAUGUCCUCACUCAAAAUGAGGGUUGCCUAUAUCAUAUUGAGAUAUGAGAUACAUCCCCCUAAUGCUGUUCUAUGGACAUUCUUGAGGCACUGACUCUGGAGCCAAAAAAAAGGUUUAGUCAACGAGCACAAAAGUUUCAUACUAGAACCACUAGACCUAUGCUAGUCAAUUCACUGUGCUAAGGGCACAUGCAAGAGCUACAACCACCCUAUGCCCAUUGAUCACAAUUAAUUUGAAAGGAUGUUUAUGGAUGCUUUUGUUUACCAUAAGUGUAAUAAAUCUUGUAGUCAUUUUCGGCACAAGUCUUGCAGCUAGCCAAUAUAAUCCAAGUUUUUGGUACCCUAUAAUCCAAGAUAAGAUAUAAUCUCCUACUGUUUUCAAAUCUCAGAAUCUUUUGCAGUAAUCUCCUACUGUUUUCAAAAAGUGGUAUGUCAAUCGUAACAGGAUUAGACAGAGGGAAGUACCGAAUGGUUGCUUGCAGAUGAGGUGAUUCUAACUUUAGACUUUGCAUGUAGACGGCGUGGAGGAUAUGAAUAGUUGCAUGCAGAUGAGAUGGUGCUGACAUUAGCCUUUGCAUGUAGAUGGCGUGGACGAUUUGAGGUAAAUGACACAAGAACACACACCAUAUAUAUAGUGGCAUUGUUGGACCUUGUUUAGUUACCCCAAAAUCCCAACUUUGGCACUAUGCAAAAAUAAGAUUCCCCAUCACAUCAAACUUGCGGUACAUGCAUGGAGUACUAAAUGUAGACGAAAUAAAAAACUAAUUGCACAGUUUUGUUGUACUUUGCGAGACGAAUCUUUUGAGCCUAAUUAGUCAAUAUUUGGACAAUAAUUCAUAAAUACAAACGAAACACUACAGUAUGCUACAGUGCUGGCACAGUGAUUUUGGUUGUCCAAAAUUGGGCAACUAAACAGGGCCUCGUUCUCUUCUCAUUAAUUGUUAAUAGAAGUUACUACAUGUACCUAGAACUCCUAAACUAGGUGUCCUAUCAUAUGAUUUGCAAUUAAUUCCAUUAAGCUUGAAGCAGGUGGAAAGGGCACUUGCAUCGAUAGGAGGCGCACGUGCACAGAGAGUCUGUUAUGUCUUUUAUCUUUUAAUGAAACUAGGUGGCGUUGGGGCUGCUGGCCUUUCCUCGCUGUUUAGCAUCCUGAGAACAUCCGGCAUGGUUGGCCGCUCCCUUGGAUUGUCUUGGGUGCACAACAGUCCGAUAUGUAUUCUUCUUUCCACUUCCUGUAGCUGUGACUCUCCACAAGAUGCAGAGUCAAAUAAAUCCUUCAGACUCUGAGCUUCCCGUACCUCCCAAGCCUGUGAAAAAGGUGUCAGUGUGUAUAACAAGGCAACAAGUAAAACCCAUUGUGUAACUGAAGUUCUUCAUGUGGUCAGCUAAGUUGCCAUUUUCUUCAGAUCCGUCUAACCAAUUUUGAUUAACGUGUUGGAUCAUUAACACACUAUUGCUUCUUGACUGCAUCAUUUUGGUCGAGAUUGGUCACUGACUAGUCCUAAGAUGAACAUCCACAAAUUCAAACAAUGAUGACCUAUAUGCUACGUUAUUGAGACUGCUAUUUCUUUGAUAAUCUUAUACUUGUCUGUAUUGAAAGAUCAUGUUGAUGUUUGGUGUAGUAAAAUUUGGAAAGGUAAGAGAACUUUUGAGAUUAUACGAGGCUACUACCCAAAGUAUGAGGUGGCACCCAAAUAGAACGACAUAUCCUUAAAAGGAACAACAUGACAUGAAGAGAUGAGCAAUUAUAAACCAAUCCAGUUUUUUAUGCUCAGAAAUUAUUGCUAGCGCUGACAGCGAGCAAGAUGCAGAAUUACCAAAUAAAGUAUGACCUACAAAAGGAUUCCUCUUUUUUUUGUGUCACAGCUGAUUACACUUUUUUCCCUUGUUGAAAAAAGUGGACAGUUUAAGGCCAAUAUCUCCACCGAAGUAUGGAUAUCAGAAUAGAUCGAAUAAUGAUGAAUGCAAAAAAGAGAAAACCUUUAUCUGAACAAGUUCCUUGUGAAGAUACCCAACCAAUGCCUGCCUAUAAAUGUUUUACGUACCCACUCAAUUGAAUGUUGGAGAAGUCCAGACCUGCUCAUUCCUCUAAUGGUAGAUAAGACUAAGAGGCCAAAACUGUAGACAUCAUUCUUGGCUGAGAUGACACCUUGAGCAAUAUAUUCUGGAGCCAUAUAUCCCCUAAAUGGUGAAAAAAUAAAUAAAUGGGUCAGCAGAAGGGGGGAAGCGACAAGAAGCUUGAUCGUGCAUGUCAUGGCAACAAAAAUACAGUAUAUAUGGAAAGUCGUCCUACAGGGUGCCUGCUAACUCUUCCGUGACUUCUUGAGUCACCUCUUGAUCAAAUAUUUUGCACAUUUCAAAAUCACAGAUUUUAGGGUUCAUAUUAGAGUCAAACAGGAUGUUUUCUGGCUUCAAAUCCAUAUGGAUAAUGUUUUUCCAGUGCAGAUGAGCUAUGCCUUGUGCCAUCCCUUGAAUUAUUUGGAAUAUGAUAGACCAAUCCAUCUGCGGACACUGUCCUGGAAAAUUAAAAAAUCAAACAUCCUAUAGAGUUAACAUUGUUAAGCUAAAUUUUGCUCCAAAUGAUAACUGGAGUCAUUCUUUAAGUGGAAACAUGCCUUCGAUAAUGUCGGACAAGUUUCCAUUCGGGGUGUACUCUUCGACCACUAUCAUACUAGUUAUUUCAGCCUCCACAUAGCGGCCCUUGUAUAGCAUCUUCUCGUAUGUGGUUUCCUGGCAAUAUCCGAGAAAGCAAACUAUAUUUUGGUGCUGACCCAGCAAUGCAAAGACAUUCACAUAAUGAUCUACAUCUCUUCGUAAGUGCCGAGCUGCACAAAAUCUCUUUAUGGCAACCAAUACGUCAGAUAUUACACCCUGGAUCAUAGGCAGCAAUUUUAAUCACGAAUGCAGUUAACGUGAUAUUAUAAUUUGAAUGCCUCAAACAUAAUUAAAAUACCAAGCAUAUGGAGUACCUUGUACACAGUAGCACUGCCACCUCUCCCAAUCAGGUUGUGUUCCGAGAAGUUAUUUGUAGCGGCCUUCAUCUCAGAUAAACUGAACAUUCUAAAUCCUGUCAUAAAAACAGGUACACAUACAGGCAUAAAUGAUGUUCUGCAAACACACACCAGCAAGAUCACUAUCACUAGUGAAUAAUAAAUAGCUCGAAUUCAAGAUCAAAGAGGCCGGUAAACAAAUAUGUGAUCUUACCUGAUUGGUUGAGAAAGUGCUCCAUACAGGCUGGAUCACUUUUUCUCUCACCAUCAGCUCCAAAUCUGUCAUCGUACAUUCGAUAAGCAAAAUGAGUGCCCUCCGAUCGAUGUAAUAAUACUGAAUGGAGGUAGACCAAUGGUGGUAGCAUAAUGGUAAGGUUUUAGAUGCUUCCUCCAUCCCAAUUGUAAAUCGUUUUGGCAUUUCACCUAGAAAUGCCAAAACGAUUUACAAUUUGCGACAAAGAGAGUAGUUUACCAGGGCUUUUAUGGAAAUAAAAGCUAAAAUUGCGCAAGUGCAUACUUUGAUGGUAUACAGACUUGCCAAGGGAAUUACAGUUUUUCGUAAUGGUGAUUAAUUUCUAUGUUGAACUCACUAAGUAUUACAACAUAUAAUUUACUAUGCUACAAUUGGAAUGGCACACUGUAAAUAUCAGACCUAGUAUCAUUGUUUGACGCACUGCUAGACGAGCUCUCCACUGCCCCUAGAUGGCCAGCAUCCUGAAAUAGAAAACCAAAUCCCUCAAGGUAUUAUUGAUGAAAUUUUUAUCCUAUCUUAUUAGUUGAAAUGGAAGAGCUAGGAAGUACCAAUUGAAUGAUACCCCUGAAAUAAAGAAACUAUCUAAAGGUUGCUGCGAAACAAAAGAAACUGUCCGUAUAUUGAUCUUGACGAGGUGAGGUGGGACACUUAAAUCUGUUAAUGCCGGACCCAACACCUGGGUCAACCGUGCUUGCGGUAGAGGCAUACAUUCUACAAAUAUGAUACGUACAGGUUGCAUCUGUCCAAUUUUUAUUCUUAACAAAAUGAGUCUAUCAACCCAAAGCUAAUGAAAAACAUGGAGAAGUUUCUCUAAAAUGGUGGAUAGAAUCGUAAGGAACAUUAUAUAUGGAAGUGACAAAAUUAAAAAUACGCUGUAAAGAUGUAGUACCUGUGUAAUCCAGUUUGCGGCCGCAAUUUGGUCCAUGAUAACCUGGUUUACCUGGCGCAACUCUUUGGUCAGGUAUCCAGUUGCACCCAGGUGAAUGUUGCGCGUCGACUGGCAGGCCCUGACAAGCUUCAGCGCCCGAUACAGGGUCUCCUCGAGGUUCUCAAGCGCCUGGAUCAUCGCCUGGUCCUUCACCAUCUCCAAAUUCUCCAUCUUUGACAGGAUAGCACUUAAUCUGCUUACGCGCCUUCCGAUCUCAUAACAAUCAGCCUUAUUCUUUCGAACGGUGUCGACCGCCUCCUUGAUCUGGAGCGCAACCUCGACAAUGUUCCUCACCCUGCCCAAUGCAUCGGACAUCCUCUCUCUAGGGGAUUAUAAUCUGCAGAUCGAAAGGAUAAGGGAGUCGUAUCGAAUCAGACGAACAAGCCUGAUGAACCAACUGGAACAAACAAAAAAAGCUCUUCGAUUUUCUUUCUCAAAGCAAUCAAAGCAAAUAAAGAAGCAAGCAUAAACCUGGCGUCUUCGGCCCUCCUUUACUAGCUGCGUCAGGGAUCUCUUCCUCCAAGCUAUGGUACGCCCGGAGCAUCCGGUGUUCGCCGGGAAUCAAGUCUGCUCGAUGGGCAAGCUUAUCUGAUAGGGACAUAAACAAUUCCGUGAAAAACAAAUAAAGGCCAGUGUGCUCUGUAAGAAAUAUAAACCAAUAAAAUACAUCUUGGCAGAAUGGGGUCAAGUGGGUCUAUAGUCUAUUCUUGUGGCAGCAAGCUGAUCCUUUAUAAUAACGCUGGAUCGGAUCUCGAUCUCCUUGAAUAGCGCUCCACUAACCCACUAAUGCUUGUCUCGUACUCCACCCACCGAUACCCAGCCCAAAAACUAUGCAUCGGGGAUUGACUUAACUUUUUGUUAUUUCGAGGUCUAAUUGAUAACACUGUUUGAAUUACGUAUGGGUUGCCUGCUGCUGGUAAAUACAUCUAUUUAUCCGUCAGCAAAAACAUGCCUGCUGGGAAAUAUUAGUUCUGACUUCUGAGCGCAUACCAGCUGUCAGUUAACAUAUUGUCUGUCAGCAAAUCCCUGCCAGGGCUUACGAUAAGUGGUCUGUCAGAAGACGUCAUCCCCCAACGGGUACAGUACGGCAUAUUACCUUCUUUGUGUUUCAUGAUGAAUGCACGGUUGUCACACCUUGAAAUUUUUGGAUCUCACGAUGUGAUUAGGAAGAAUAAUUAAACAAUGAUUUUUCUCAUAAUUUUAAAAUUUGCCAACAUUUGUUUUCUUGAUAGGAAAUUUAGUGUAGGAAAAUAAUUGGUUGUUUUUCCUAAACUAAAUGAGCUUGUUCUAUGUGUGUGCAUUCAUGCCCAUGCAUCUUGGUGUUUAUUGAGUGCAAAGGUUUUAAAAAUAUCUUUAGACGACGACCAGGUUCUUCUGAGAAUUUACCAAUUUUUUCUGGAAAUUAUUCUCAUUUUCCUAGAGCUAAAUCCUUUUCCCAAGCUCCAGUAAUUUUAUUUAGACUCCUCGUGUCCCAAACUAUCUCUAGGAAUUUUCCUGGAAUUUUUAGGAUUUUCAGAGUAUUUUUUGUGGGUUUUAUUGAAUUAUCUGGAUUUUUCUUUAUACGGGAAAUUACUUCUGAAAAUAAAAAGAAAAGAAAACCUCAACCUACCCUUUUGGGCUAAGCCCGCACCCAAAAGCUCUACCAUAGCCCAACUCUCCUUCCCUCCCUCGAGCCUCGCUAGCUCAGCCCAGUCCAGGCCCGACCAGCCAAGCCAGGCCCGAUUGGGACCAUAUGCUCUGCAGCUCUCUCCCAAGCUGCACAGGCAGGCAACGCCACCGCCACGCCCUUUUGGUGUGCGUGCCACGCCAGGCGCAGCCACCCGCGCCCUAUCAAUAGCGAAGCCCGACCCCCGCACGCCCCUGCCAUCCUCGCAAGCCACCCUGCCUCGCCUGUGCUGCGCCGCCACCUUGCAAACCCGCCAGCCGAGUCGGGCGCCGCCGCCAACUUUCCACUCGAUUCACCAGCUCCGCUGCCCGCCGGAUGAAACCGGCCCCUUCUAGAGCUUCGGGACGUCGUACAACGGUAGAAGCACCAUCGGUGUAGCCUGGGAGGAUGAGCCACAGCGACGGCUGCGUUCUCUCACCGUAUUAACUCACGUACACGUAAGAUGAACUAGCUUUGCUGGCGGUAUACAGACGCCCUCGCAACCACCGUGUACGUGCCCUAAUCUGUCCUGAAAAUUCUAGAAUGCCUUAUAUUAGGAUAGAGGGACAGAGGUGGUACUCUUCAAAUAUCUAGCCCAAAAACCAUGUCAAGAACUUACAACAUGCCUAUAAAUACCCGACUCAAUUCAUUGCAUGCUGCGACACUCCUACCUUUUGCCUUUUUCUUAACAAAUCCUUGCAAUGUAAAUAUAAAUCAUAAGCAAAUCAAAUCAAUCGAAAUUUUUUAUAUAUCGUUUCUUUGUAAAUAGCCACACCAAGAACAAUGUCUUGUAGUCUGAACAGACGAAAAUGGUGGAUGCCUUGGCUUGCUCAGGUGGCUUCUCAAACUUGUAGUCUUAAUUGAUGAAAAUGGUAAUUGCUUUGACUUGCUCGGGUGUUUUUUUGAGCCCUGGCAACCUGCCAAUUGCCUCACCAAACAAGUUGAUAGCUAGAGUUGCCCAAGCUCAAAAAGAUUAUUGUUCUUUUCUCCUUCAAUAAUGAUUUUGCUCCCAUGUUUUGUGAAGCGCUUUCCACGAUUGUUUUCACAACAUGUUCCAUACUUAUAGCUCAAUGCAAUGCAAAAGCAUCCACAUAUUCCAAUAUUAAUUCACUGGUAUGUGGAAUAUCCAACACCUUCUUGGAUUCUAAAAAUUUUGUGCCCAAGUAUCAAUAUCAGGUGCAACAUUUUCGUGUCAGUUUACCUGUCCGCAUUGCUUCACAUAUCCGUACCUUGUCAAGAAAGGUCUAUUUUCCUGACAGAGAUUUCAUUACCGUCAGUGCAAUGUGACCUUCCACAAUAGCCUGUUGCCGCUUGGUGUCCAUUGUGCUGCCACGGACGGAGUGAUCCCUUUUACAGUUUCUUUCUUUUGUUUUCUGUGGAGGACUUGAGAAGAGUCCGGUUUUCUAGAGAAUACUUUGUGCAAAUGAACAGAAGUAACGUUCCUCCCUUCUAUACGAAGUUCACGUUAGGUGAGUACUCGAUCAUGUUAUUAAUUUAAUACUAGAUACUCCUCGCUCCAUAUGGUUGCGUGAGUCCGCGAAACUUGCUGACAUUGGCUUCUAGAGCGAGGAAAUAUGUUAACAAGAAUGAGAAUAUAUAACAAGCAGCUCGUACAACUAAGUGCGCGCCUUAUCACCUAAUCACCUAGCCAAGCAUCUAAUCACGUGGGGCACCUUUUUUUAUUUGUCUCCUCUUUGAGUAUCCUAUGCUUGACUUGAACCUAGUCUUGCGUAACCAAUCCAUCUUCUCCCGGGUUACUUUACAAGUUUUGAACUGAAUCAACACAGGAAUUUUCGUGGAAUUUUUAGGAUUUUUUGAGUAUAUUCCGUGGCUUUAAUUGAAUUAUCUGGAUUUUUCUUUAUACAGGAAAUUACUUCUGAAAAUAAAAAAAAGAAAACCUAAACCUAACCUUUUGGGCCGAGCCCGCACCCGCGAGCCCAACCAUGGCCCAGCUCUCCUUCCCUCCCUCUAGCCUCGCUGGCUUUCCGCUCGAUUCACCGGCUCCGCUGCCCGCCGGACGAAACCGGCCCCUUCUGGAGCUUCGGGACGUCGCCCCGCACACCCGCCGCUACACCCUGUCGUCGUUUGGCCGCCGGAGGAGCCCCGCCCUGUGGAGCCCGAACUAGCCGCCGCCUCCACAGUCCGCCAUCGAUUCCGGCCGGUGCCGUCGUCCUCUACCGUCGGUGAGCACGCCCCCGUGACCCUCUCGACCUCCUCUAUCUCCUUCGCCACCCACCUAAGCCCCUACCUCUCAACCACCGGCGAUUUCAUCUCCCAGUGCGCCGUCCGCCAUGGCCAAAAGCUCCUCGAGCUUUUCCGUGGAGGCCCCUGAAGAAAUCUAUAAUUAUUCCAAGAUCUCUGUGUCUUGGAUCUUUUUUGAAAAGCCCCCUAGAUCUAUUAGGUUCCUUCAACCGAGCCCAAGCCGUGAUCUAUUUCAGAUCGAACCCUGCUCUUUAUCGUAUUCACGGGCACUAUGUGUCUCGGGAAUCUUCCUCGCUAGCCCUUGUUCUCUAGGGUUAAUCGCGAUUAGACCCCUGCAGCUUGAUUAGCUCGUAGAUCUUAUGUUUCAACUCCGUUUAACCUCUUUCUUGUUGCGUUAGAUUCAUAUCAAUUUAAAUUACGCAUUAGAAGCAAUGUUAAUCAUUUUAUCUAUUUUAUAAUUUACUUCAAAUAUUAAUAUGAUUAAGUACUUACAUACUUGUUUUUCUAAUUAAAAUACAAUAGAGUUUAACCCCGUGUUUUCAUGCUAAUGUUAAUUUGUUUAAUGCUUAUCUAAAUAAUUUUUCCAAUUAAUAGCUAACUAGAGUUAUACCUCGGUUUUCAUAGUCAAACUUAAAUUGAUUAAUGUUUAUUCAAUUUGCUUUCUAAACAAAAGUUGCAUAGGUUCUAUCUCGAGUUUUCGUAAUUAAAUGUUAAUUUGGUUAAAUAUAAAUAUAAAUAUAAAUGUGUUUCUGAAUUAUAAUUUGUCUAGUUCAACACGAAUCAUAAAGUUAUGCGCUUAGAUCUUCCCACCUAAGUUAUUUUCCAAAUAAAUGUUUAACUAGUAUAAUUUAUACAUGAACAUUUAUAAAUAAAACUUGAGUAGGAUUUACCUCGGUUUUUGCCAAUAGAGUAAAAUUUGCAUUAUUUCUAAAUUAGGGUAUUUUCUUUCCAAAAUAUCCUUUAGAUAUGUUUUGCUAAUUAAAAUAAAUCCAGCAUAUAGCCUUGUGUGCUCUCAUAAUUGUUUGAUAGCCGUCUUUGUUAGCUUUAGCUUUGUAUCUCUUUUGUAGAUCUAGUCUUCUGUAAAGCUUUAGAUCUUUGUAGUUCCAGAUCAAGCUCACACUCAGUUUCUUUCACAAAUCUAGCCAAGCCUUUCCUUUUCAAGCACGGUUUGUGUGCUUUAGUGAUCCAAAUAGUUUAUCUUAGAGUUUUUGUUCUGCCUAAUAGUUUUGGUCUUCAUGAGUAGUUUGGUGCUGCUCAUUUCCCUAGCUAGUAUAUUUUUUAUCAUGCUUGUUUCCUGUUCCUCUUAGAAACCUGUUUAUCAAAAGCUAGCUCAUAAUUACUAUGUCCUAGUUGUCUCUUUGUGAGUCAGCUAUGUUCGUUAUGGCCAAACCUUUCGCAGCCAUCUCUUUAGAGCUAAUCUUGUUAGUUGUGUCUCUAUCGACCAGUUCAGUUUAGCUUUGACUAGUUUGUUAUCUUUGCAACCUAGUUGCUCUCUUUGUAGACUAGUUUUCCCUAAACCAUAGUUUAAGGUUUUCUUCUGCGCUCUAAAGUCUGAUUUUGAUGUUCUUGUUCACUUAACCAUAACUUAUGCGAUAGCAAUGUGUAUUGCCUGUUGCUUGUCUUUAAAAUCAAAAUUGAAUGUCAAUUUGACUAAUACUUAUUAAACCAGUUUUCUAAUUAAAAGUUUACUAGUUAUACAAUAUGGGAUUUCAUAUAAAAUUUUAAACUUUACUAAUUCUUAUUCAAUUAGUUUUCUACAUAAAAAUUUAUUAGGUUCUAUCCCGGAUUUCAUAAACUAAGAUUUAAUUAAUUAAUUCCUAUUUAUAACUAGCUUUUCUAAAUAAAAUAUACCUAGUGUCAUACAUCAUUUUCCAUGAAUGAAGUUAAUAUGCUUAAUGGUAUUAUAAACACCUUUUUCACAUUAAUAUGUUUAGCUGAACACAAAAUACAAAGUUAUUCGAUUAGAUGUCUUAUACAUGCUCUGUGUUUCUAAAGUUAACUGUUAAAUUGGUGUAACUUGUACUUCAAUAUUUACAAAUAAAAUAUGAUUAAAUUUAUCACGUUUUCAAUGUUCAAAUAUACCUUCUGUUAAUUCCAACUAAGGAUAUUUCUCUAAAAUAUCUACGCAUUGUUUUUUAUUAAAAUCUAAAGUUAACUGUUAAAUUGGUGUAACUUGUACUUCAAUAUUUACAAAUAAAAUAUGAUUAAAUUUAUCACAUUUUCGAUGUUCAAAUAUACCUUCUGUUAAUUCCAACUAAGGAUAUUUCUCUAAAAUAUCUACGCAUUGUUUUUUAUUAAAAUAUAUCAAGCAUAUAGUCUUUUUAUUUCUUUGAUAAUUCAAACCUCUCGAUAGCUUUGUCUUUUCAUCCAUAGUUUCAUUUUCAGCAUUUUUUCUACGUUGCGAUCUUAGAAUCAAGCCCUAUCCUUUGGUAUGAUCUUUUAAAGCUUUUCUUUUGAUUGGUGUACUGUUCUUAGUUGUGCUUGUUUGUUUGCUCUGUAUGGUUGUGCCGAUGAUUGUUUUGAGUAGAAGGAUUGCUAUUCGAAAGCUUUGAAGAUUAAGAGUUUCAAGAGAGCAAGAGCUGAAGAGCAGUAAGAGUAAUUUUUCAUUGGAGAAAGGCAAGUGUCCCCAACCUUCCUUCUAUCUAUGAUUAUUUAAAUACCAUGCAUGCAUUAAUUGGAACAUUGAGCGACCACCCAAGAAAACAAUGCAACCACAAGAACUACAUGGCUCUAGUCUUGGCUAAUUAAUUAGAUACUCUUGUUUGAAGCGGUCUUACCGAAAGGGCAAGAGGGGUGACGGCAGAUGGGGUAUAACCCAACCCUCAGACCGAUAUGCUCAAUGGUAGCUUCGCAGUCUUGAGAGAGGUUUACGCUCUGCUACUUAUCCGGAAACCUUAGCUGGCUACAUCUUAUUAGGGAAUCUUUGUAGAGGUCUUAUAGCUUCCCUAUGCAGUCACAUCUCGGUAGUGUGAUGAGUGCUUGAUUAGCACAGUAUGGUUGGGUCUAAAGUUUUUCUGAACUUCUACGCAACUUGUGGUGAAAAUGUACAACUUCUGCAGAGUGUUAUAUCAACUGUGCUCACAGUCAAGAGUGGCCUGAACCCUCACAUGAUUAAUAAACUUGAAGAUAUACUUAAAUCAUUAUUUUGGUUAUUUUUUGUGUUCUUGCUGAGUAGCAACCAUAAGUGUACUCACCCUUGCUAACCGCUGCUCAGAAUAAGGUGUCUGAAGUUAUUGAAGAUGAUGCUAGGCGUACGCAGCCCCAAUUGAUUGCUUGUGAAGUCUGAAGUCUUUGUUUUCAGGAUUAAGCUGUAUAUCUCUGAUAGACUCGUAAAUUUUUAUUUAUAUUCCUUUACGUGAUACUGUUACUGUUAUUCACUGAUAAUGUCACUAUAUGUAUGAUACUUGAUUAUGGGAUACAUAGGUAGCACUUGGUUUUGUUUUAAAAUCUGGUGUGACAUCGGUUCACAUCAAGCGUGACGAUAAGAAUUUAUAUAAAUGUUGCCCAACCACCCGAAUAUCAUAAAUUGAAGGUAUGUUUGAUUUUUUUACCAUACUUACCUGUGGCUAAACUCCAAAUGCUAGUUUUAGAAUAGUCGUAAUGGAAUUGCCAAGGGCGAGAGAAGAAUUGUUACUGUUGUGCCAUAACCCACAUUGGCUUAUGUGUCUAGACAGCUUAGAUGUCCAGCGUGGCCUAGCGCAUUUUAUGUAAACAUUUACAGGUGCACUGCUGCUGAUUUUAUGUAAUUAUUAAACCUAAUGCAGUUUCAUCAUGGCAAGAUGCAUUAAAGAAAGAAAGGGAAAGACAAAAUGAAAUACACCAAAGAGUUCAGUUCCAGCUGAAAACGUGUCUGCCCCAAGCGAGCUCCUAUACAUCUUCUGUGUUGAUUGCACAGCCCAUAAGGCCCAGCAAUUUACAGCCCAAGCAGCAAUAAUACACAUGCGCCGCAGGCCCCAAUACGAAUAUGUAAGUAUGGGGAAAAAAAAAGAUACGUACCACCUAAGCAGCAUGCCACGGCAGGCCCCAUCAGCCACCAGCCGAAGAUACGUGUUGCUUUACUAUUUUUAUUCAUAUUCCAUUCUACAGUAAUCCUCCUAAUACUAUAUUCAACAUUUUGUGCGAAUUGAUUCAAACAUUCAAAAUAACUAGUUAAACAUUUUGAUAAAACGAAUGCAAAAUUUUCUUAAAAUGUUGAAAUAGUAUAUUAAAAAUGUUGAAUAAAAUGUUGGAAUAGUGUAUUAAAUUUCAACAUUUUUUAUAAAUGCAAAUUCAACAUUUUUAAUAAAAUAUUGAAAUAGCGUAUUAAAAAUGUUGAAAUAGAAUUUAUGAUCUAAUAUAUUCAAAUAAUAAACUAAUAUAGUUAACAUUUUAAAUAAUAGAUUCAUCAUUUCUUUGCAUACUUAACUGUUGGGUAGUUCAUCAAAAAUUUUGAAUUUUAAAAAUUAGCAAAGAUAUAUUCGGAUAUCAUUAUGUUCGAUUAAUUCUCAAUAAUGUAGUGGUUUAAACGAUUAAAAAGGGUUCCCAGUUUGGGAGAAAAAUGCAUUUGAAGUUUGGAAUCCAAAAGCACCAUGCAACCACCACAAGAACCACACUGUCUGUCCUCCCCAUCAGCCGUGCAUGUUCUUUUCUACCUGGAGCCAUGGUGCGCCUGGGCUGUUGCUGUCAAUUGUGGUGGAAAAGGCAAAAUCAUUCCUACAGCUUGGAGAGUACGACACAAGUCGCGAGCAUUGGAAGAUGCUUAAGAAAAAAUUCUUCAAGAAGACACAUAGGAUUUCCAGCCCGGUCCAGCCUAGAAGAGUUUGACCCGCCCAUCAGUCUGUUCAGGCCUAUUAACUUCAGGUCCAAUUAGAAUGUGGGUCGUCCAUUCUCUCUCCUCUCAUAAAAAGACUCGUUCUGUCCUGCGUAACCCAUGGGCCGGCCCAGCUUCCUGUCGCGCUCGUGCCCAGAGCUCGCAGACGGAGGACGGGGAGCCACCAGUGUGGCACUCCGAGGGGCGACCGCGGCGGCGGGGGCACUGAGCAGUGAGCACAGCACAACCCAAUGCUAGCGCAUCGGAGAAGGGCGCGGAUGCCUCGACGAUCUCCGAAGGGUCCCACUGUAAUCUCGUCCGCCAUGUCCGACGGCCUCCUGCAGCCGCGUGCGUUCAAGCAGGUGAGAUCCCACAACUAAGGUUCGUGGCCACGGUCGGAUUCCCGGCCUGAAAGAAACUUAUCAGCCACCUCGUUCUGUUCAUGCUUCUUUGUGCUCUCCAAAUUAAAGUUUCCCCAAUUUUGAUGUAAAUUUCGGUCACGCGCAUGUGGUGUGGCAGUCACCGGAGUGUUGGCAAUACACAUAAAAUCGACAAAUACAUAGACAUCGUAGAGUCUUGGCACUAUGCAUAACUAAUAUCUUACGAAUUUCCCUGUAUGGUCUAACAAGUGCCCUGAAAGGUUGUAACAAGUCUAAGAUGGUGUAGCUUAGUCUCCACUUACCGUCCAUAUCGACCGAGUCUGAGGAGGACGUUACUUCUUCCAGAUGCUGACAAACAACUGCAGAGCACUCCGUCCAUCCUUCUUACUCGCAUUGAGCCCCUUCUCUCCUUCUCGAGACCAAUUCCAAGAGGCAAAACUUUUGGAAACUUUGGAGCAAUGGCAUGGUGCUUAAGUGUAUUAUUGUCAUGCGGUGCAGAACCUGAUUCCUUUCACCCAUUAUUAUUGUCAUGCGGUUGAUUCUGAAAACUUUAUUUUGCUCAGGUUCUAUUUCCAUGUUGCAGAGCCUCCAUGCCUGGUCGAGGCACUUUGUCCUCAACAUCAACUAAAGGUGUGUUUGGAUGGAGGGACGUGACGGAAUGGGAUCAUCCCACUUUUACAUAUGUUUGGUUGGAGGUUAGGUGGGACGAGGACGGCAUCAAAGUAAAAUAUUCUUCGAAAAAGAGGGAUGAAACAGUUCCUCCAAAUCGGUCGGACCAAUCCGUCCCACUUCGAUGACACAAACACCGUGACGAGCAAGACGACACAAACGCCGUGACGACACAAACGCCGUGACGAGCGAGCGCCUCGAGCGCAAGCGCACGUCCAACUCCAGCGCAGCGCCACGAGAAAAGCCAGGCGGCAGGGGCACGUAGCUCGGGCGGUAGAGGAAUGGAGCUGGGUGGUGGGGAGGGUGGAGCCCGGUGGCGCAGGGGACCGCCAGGAGGAGACGGGGAUCGACCUCCUGGGUUCCAGUUCCACCCCACCAACGAGGAGCUGGUGGUGCAGUACCUCCGUCGGAAGGCCCUGUCCCGCCUGCUGCCCGCUGCCAUCAUCCCCGUCAACCACGACCAUGCCAGGCUGGAUCCAUGGGACCUCCCUGGUGCGUCCGCACGCUCUCUUUCAGAUUAAUGGGAAGGAAGGCUGAGACAGAGUGUUCUGAUGUUCCUUGAUUGAUUGGUGUGUGUACAGGAGCGAGCGAAGGGGAGGGGUACUUCUUCAGCGCGCCUUCGUCGAGCAGCGGCCGCUGGAGGAGAGCUAGCAGCGGGUACUGGAAGGCCACGGGGAAGGAGAAGCCUGUGUUCCUGCAGUGCGGCGGCAAGCGGCAGCUGCUCGUGAGCGUCAAGACGGCGCUCGCCUUCCAUCGCAGCGAGCCGUCAUCGUCACAGGGGACCGCCGGUAGGAGACGGGAGGGCGAAGCCUGGCGGCGCGGGGUGGUGUGGGCCUCGGCUGCGGUGGCGCGGGUGAUUGCGCCGCGACACGCCGAGAAGGGGAUGAGGCUCUGAGGCUAAUAGUGAGCUCCGCGGCUAACGGAAUACAAACACCGUUUAUUUCAUCGGUCCUCAUCCCUCAAACCAAACAACGAAAUUAGGAUGUUCCCAUCUUUCCAACCAAACAUUAAGUGGGAUCAUCUCAUCCUAAAAAAGAGGAUGAUCCUAUCUCAUCCCACCUGUCCCUCCAUCCAAAUACACCCUAACUGCGCCGGUCGAUGUGAUUGCGACUGCUUGUUCUUACCGGACUGGUUAUAUGAAGCUGGCAUCAGAAGUAACCAGGUUCUGAUCCUCCCUGUGUUGAGUUCCAGCUAAUAUCACUCUAGGAUCAGUGCAAUGAAUGGUUUCUGUGAAAUCCAUCUUCAUCUCCUUUCGUUCCAAAAAACUAUCCUGUUAUCUAAGGAAGCUCCCAACUGCAAUCCACUCCUCCGUAUUUUUUGGGUCCCGGAAGAUAGAACUCUUUUUCAGUGUACAUUCUAUUUUCGGUAUAAUUAACAUACAUUAUGAAAAUCUAAGAAUGAGGCCCCCUCCCCCCGAGAGAGGCGACGCCCAUGGUGACACCCCGCCCGUACACCAACCUCGUCCCAGACCCCCCACCCCAGUAACCUCCACCAACCAACCGGCCCCAGAUCCGAGCGCAUCUGUAGAAGACCUCCAAGCUCGUACUAGCCGUGUCGUGAGGGAGCAAGAGAAGGAGGAGAUCGAGUUCACUCAGAAGAAGGUCCAAGAUCCAGAUCCCAUCGGUGAGGUCGCAGUACAGGAGCAGUUAUCGCCGGAAGAUCGACAGUCUGGCCAAGCUAUGCAUACCCAGAGGCUAGAGGCAGCGACGGAGGCCAGCAUCCUCCCGGAUCUCGUCCAAGAUUUGCGAGCACAAGCUAGCCUUAAGUCGACGCGGCUGGAAACAGGCAUUGAAUGCGACGAGGCAAAUCACACGCCAAGCACAAGCAUGCCAGUGAGGCUGGCGAGGGGCUCGACGAGGAAGAAGAAGACCGGUGGUUCGCGCCCUCCUCCAACGGCUUGUCAAGCAAGAGAAUCCACAAAAUCUGCCGCACAGCAGAGUUUUUGAGCCUGUAAAGCAGAAGCUCACCAGCGCAGUGAAAGGAAAAGGAGCAGGGACAGAACGGCAACCAUGCCAGCCAUCAAAUCUGCAUCAGAGAAGGGAGCAGAGCAUUUCAACAAGCAGCUGGCAAAAGCAGCGGGGUCAAUGCUUGAGAGAAGGGGAGGUGGGUAACCUUCAAUUCCCCUCUCCUCCAUUCAGGUCCAGCUCAAGGAAUAGACAGCAAUGACAUCAGCAACAAGAUCCGACCAUGGACAAAUCUUCAAGGACACAACACACUGCACUGCAGUCAGAGACCUGGAUUGAUGAACACGGCUUCCAAGUGGUAAAACCAGCAUAUUGGUGGCGAAGGACUGGAGACCAUUCAAGAGAAGAUUCAAGGCUUCACCAACCGGACAUGGAAGAGCAUAGGAGGAAGAGGUACAGGGAACAUGUCAGGGGAAAAUGUCUCAAUUGUUUCUCCACAGAACACAAAGCAGCUGAAUGCAAGCAACGCACUAAAUGCUGAAGAUGUCUGCAGACGGGGCACAAGGCCCUCGCCUGCCCAACCUGGAGAGACCAUGUUAAAAGGCCACCACCGGAGACUUAUUCUCAUUCUUGUCAAACCAAGACCAUCCCCACCACCACAUCUUUCCCCCCACUCCUGCUGGCCGGACCGUCUGCACGGCCGGCCGUUUCUACCUUCGGGCAGCAAAGGGCGAGGCAGCUCCCAUGGCGACAUACCCGGGUGACCCGCGUGCCCGCCCAGAAUACGCGGUCUGUGCGCUCUCAGCGACUGGGCACAUCAAGCGCAAGCAGGAGUCCAUGAUCGGCAAGACAGCAGUCUGUUGGCUCAACGGCAACAGCCACGACAUGGAGAUAUGCCACGUCGCUGAUGCCCUUGAAGAACAGCUCCUCAUCAGCCGCCAUGAAGUGCGCGUCGUCAAGCACUUCCCCGAGCAAUAUCUGGUGUUCUUCACCGACUGCCGAGCAUACCAUCGCGCUAUCGACCAGUGGGGCGUCCACAAAUGAGGAAGAGUCUUCAACUUCGAGCCAUGGACAGAGCGUUGGAACGUCGUGGAGAGCAAGCUAGAGUUCCGGGUCAGGCUGCGCAUUGAGGGAGUGGCGCUGCUGCAUGCCUGGUCCGAGGAGGUGGCGGCCCAAGUCAUUGGCCAAUACUGCGCCAUCCACUACGUUGAGGAACACGCACGCCAGUAGGAGUGCACACGAACCUACGAUCUGUGGGCGUGGUGCUCCAACCCCCAAGAUCCCUAAGAAGUUGCUGCUCACCAUCACCGACCCUGACAGGGAGCAGCCGGCAAUCGACAUCCCGCGGCAGCUCGUCAACCCCAACCACGACACACCUGAUGACAUCAAGGGCGCGUACAACUACAAGCUGCACAUCCACCUCGACGUGGUCGAGGACCUCUCCUUCCUCAGAGGGAGGGACGGAGGGGACGGAUAGCACAACAGGAGGCCAUGCCGUGAGUUCCUCUGAAACUACGGGGCACCGGACUCCCAGGGGGAACGGCGCAGUGACCAGUACCAUGAUAACUUUGCAAGCCGCGACUACCACCCACGCCGUGACAGAGACGACCAUGACGACCAGCACCAUCGAGGCACAAGGCGCCACCGUAGUGCCUCUUCCUGGGGGCGAGUGACGCGCUGCCGCGGAGCCAUGGAGGACUGCUACAGCUCCACACACCGCAACGGCAACUAGGUACACUCGGGUCGCCACAACAGAGUCCAGAACAACACAGCUGGCCAGGACAACAAAAGCCAUUCUCUGAUGGCUUGGCGCAAGAAGAGCACAGGAGGCAAGAAGGUCUCCUUUGCAAAUCCUCUGGUGCAGAUCAUGGGUGAGUUUGAGUUUGACCCUAGUUGCUAUCAUUUCCCAGCGCCUUCGAAUUCUGACUUGGUGGGUGAGUGGUUUGACCCCAUGAGGGAAGAGAUGCUCAUCCCUAAUAUUUUUGUAGGCGACCCAGGCAAGGAGGAUCGUAUCCUGAACAUGCUGCACUCGGCAGUGGGAUGGACCCCGGUUGCUUCACCAAGGAGUGCUCCGGAGGAAGGCGAGCUGCCGGAGCCAGUGACCGAGCUGCAGGAACCAGAAGGGCACAACAUGCAUUCGCCAAUCACCAACAAGCAGUCACAGGUCUGUCUGGUUUCUACUCCUCUAGAUGCAUCAGUGAGGCACACACAACAAGCUCAAAUUUCAGAAACUGUCAACACGGAAAACACUAGCUCAUCGCCUUUUGCACAGUACACCAACAGAGUAGAGCCCCCUAAUGUCAACAGAGAAGAGGUGAACGGUAGCAACAUCAUUAGUGAAAAUAACAACAACAUAGCAGCACCGCACAACACCGUAGCUACUUCAGUUAUAUGCAAUGAUCAAGAUAUGGUAGCCACUUCUGUUGAAAAUGGGGAGGGUAACAUAGAGGUCGGUGAGGGUCCUAAAUUUGACGACCUUUCAGCUUUCAUUGAUUUCAUAGCCUGCAAGCCAAAUGCGCAUAUUGUUUGCACUCCACCCAGAGCAAACCCCAUCACAUCAGGCAACGAAAAUCAGGGCCAAAACACAGCACAAAGAAAAAGCUCUAGGCUAGCGGAUAAAGCUAAGCUAAACCCGGGCAAGGACAGCACCCAACUUGCCCAAAAAGUCCUUAGUAAUAAGCUUGGGGAGCUGUCUCCAAAGUCGAAAGUUAAUUCUAAUGCUGAGGUUGAUCAUUUGGUGCAGCACCUUCCAAAGCCACUGACGGACCUGAAGAUGAUGGCCAUCAAAACCUUGGUGGAGCAGGGAAACCAGGCCAAGCACAAGAACAUGAAGAGGAGCAAGAUCACUCCAUCAGCAAUUGGAGAGAUGGAGGCCCAAGUGGCCUGAGGGAUAACCAUCCAGGGAGGAAGCGUUUCAGUGGUUUUUACUUCCCUAAUGUUAGGCAUAAAAUAAUUGAACUUAAACUUAGUCGAAUCUGUAUCUUUAAAUGGGCCAACAAUUAGGCCCUGCGACUUCAGCGGUGCUUUGUAUCGGGCAGAAUGCCCAGCAUCGACGUCCACGAAGCUCGCCAAGCUCUCCUCGAGGCAAUGCUUUAGUGAAAAAACAAGUCUCCUGGGACUUCUCAGCUUUGUAUCAGGACCAUGCGCCAAGCAAUGUUGUCCGCAGGUUGACGCUUUCCAUGAGUCUACUAUUAGUUGUGCACCUCUGAUCCAUGUCACAAAAGGAUUGUAAUGUGUUGUGUUGGAAUGUUCGUGGGCUUAAUGUGGCAGCUAGGAGAGCAAGUGUACGAAGCACGAUUCGUUCAUCCGGAGCAACGAUAGUAUGUCUGCAAGAGACCAAAAUAGCACACUGGACAUCUAAACUCGUGGCAGACACCCUGGGCAAUAAUUUUGCAAAGAACUUUGCUGUGUUACCAGCCCUUGGCACAAGAGGAGGCAUCCUUAUAGCGACAACGGUGAACCAUUUUGAUAUGCACAACAUCCACACCAUCGAUCACACAGUAUCCACAACAAUCACUAUGAAAGUAGACAAAAAAAUCUUGGACACUCACUUGCGUCUAUGGCCCUCAGGAUGAACACGACAAGCUACUAUUUCUAGAGGAACUGAAGAGCCUAAAAGAACAAGUUCUCACGGAAUGGCUCAUAGUUUGUGACUUUAACCUUAUAUAUAAGGCAGAGGACAAAAGUAACAAUAGGCUCAACAGAAACUUGAUGAAUCGUUUCAAGCAGGCAAUUGACAAGAACCAACUGAUGGAAAUCGACCUCCACGGAUGGUGUUUCACCUGGAGCAACGAACAAGAUCACCCAACAUUCACAAGGAUAGACAGGUUCUUCGGUACACCAGAAUGGCAUCUUCUCUUCCCAAACCUUGACUUGCAAGCCUUGCCAACCAUGGGCUCAGAUCACUGCCCAUUAUUUUUAACAGGUGACGUAGAGAGACAGAACUAUAUGGGCUUUCACUUUGAAUCUUAUUGGGUGAACAUGCCAGGUUUCUUAGAGACUAUACAAGAAGUCUGGAGCCAGCCAGUGCAUACUCAAGAUGCCAUACUGCGUAUGCAUGUCAAACUCAUUCGCACAGCAAAGGCACUUAAAUUGUGGAAGAGAAAAAACCUUGGCAAUCUAGCCCUUAGACUGGCAAUAGCCAAUGAGGUGCUAUGCUUCUUGGAUGCAGCUCAGGAACAAAGAGCCCUUACAACAGAGGAAUUAGAAUUUCAACGAUACCUAAAAGCGAAGUCGGUGGGCUUAGCAACGGUUCAGAGAGCCCGUGCAAGACAACACUCCCGGCUCACAUGGAUGCGAAAAGGAGACGCAUGCACACGCCUGUUUAUGCUGCAUGCUAACAACACAAGAAGAAAUCUACACAUCCCGUCCUUAACCACCGUAAAUGGAACAACAAUCAACAACCACCAGCAAAAAGAGGAAAUAAUAUACGAUCACUUCGUAAACCUGUUGGGCAAAACACAAGAGAGAUCCCUCAGCCUAAACUGGACAAAUCUCGGAUGUCAUCCACAUGACUUGACCGACCUGGAAGCACCAUUUGAGGCAGAAGAAAUAAAAAAGGUCGUCAUGCACUUACCAGCAUAAAAAUCACCUAGCCCGGAUGGAUUUAUUGGUCUAUUCUAUAAGAAGUGUUGGGAUGUGAUCGGAGAGGAUCUGAUCCAAGCUCUUCAUGCCUUCCACUCCCUUAGGACCAGACGCAUGGAAUUGAUUAACGAGGCCAAUAUCAUUUUGCUGCCAAAGAAAGAAGGAGCAACCAUGGUUGCAGAUUUCCGACCCAUCACUCUCAUUAAUAGUCUAGCCAAGAUCAUAACAAAGGUGCUAGUAGAUAGGUUGGCUCCGAGACUGAAUGAGCUAGUUUCCGGAUGUCAGAACACCUUCAUCAAAAAAAGAUGCAUUCAUGACAACUUCGUCUACGUACAUAGUGUAAUCAAGGCGUUGCACAAAUCAAAGAGACCGGCACUCUUUGUAAAACUCGAUAUCUCAAAAGCAUUUCAUUCGCUUAAUUGGGUAUUUCUCAUCGAAACAUUACAGGCCCUAGGUUUUGGCCAAAAAUGAGAGAUUGGAUUACAACACUAUUAGCCACCUCAUCAUCCAAGGUGCUACUUAACGGGAGACCUAGGAAAAAAUUGAAGCAUGCUAGAGGCCUCCGUCAAGGAGACCCACUAUCACCCAUGUUGUUCAUCCUUGCCAUUGACCCACUCCAUAAAAUGGUGGAACUAGUAGCCGGCAACAACAUCAUAAGACCAAUCCUCCCCAGAGCGGCAAAGCUACGAUGCUCCCUUUAUGCAAAUGAUGCAGCUAUUUUUACAAACCCAGACAGAGAAGAACUACAACGUAUCGGACAGUUGUUACAUAUCUUUGGAGAAUGUUCAGGACUCAAGAUAAAUAUGACUAAAACGGAAAUAUUCCCUAUCCGGUGUACCAAUGAAACCAUCUUAGAAGCUCUAGAGCACUUCUCGGGAAAAAUUUCCUCCUUCCCUGGAAAAUAUUUGGGCUUGCCUCUUCACAUGCGCAAACUCCGAAGGGUGGACGUCCAACCAUUAAUUGACAAGAUCGGUGGAAGGCUUCCUGGAUGGAAAGGUAAAAUGUUAUCGUCGGCCGGGAGAGAAACACUGGUGAAGAGUGUAUUAACAUCACAACCAAUAUAUCACCUCACAGUUUUCCCUACUCAAAAAUGGCUGAUCAAACAGAUUGAUCACCUACGUCGCAGUUUCCUUUAGAAAGGAGAGGAACCAAAAAAGGUCAAUGGAGGACACUACUUGAUUAAAUGGCCAACAGUAUGCACGCCUAAGGACAUGGGAGGGCUCGGGAUUCUCAACCUCGAGAGACUUGCGAGGGCUCUAAGAAUGAGAUGGUGCUGGUUCCAGUGGAAGUAUAGUGAGAUACCUUGGGUAGGACUUGAUAUCCCGUGCGAUAAGAAUGAUAAAGACCUAUUCUAUGCGUCAACAGUAGUAAUGGUGGGCAAUGGAAAGAAAGCAAACUACUGGAUAGCGCAGGUUUACCCACUCAUGACAGGAGAGGAAAUCAGAGAGUAUGUGCAGCUAUUUGAGGAAAUAAACAUGCUACAACGUGACACUAAUGCGGAGGAUGAAAUAUCAUGGAGGUGGACGCAGGACGGGGAGUAUACCACAAAGAGUGUAUACCGUAUACAAUUCCAAGGCCAACUGAAGAAGUUGAGUAUCACCUCAAUAUGGAAAGCUAGAACUGAACCAAAAUGCCGGAUCUUUGCCUGGCUUCUCCUGCAUAGGAAAAUCUUAAUAGCAGACAACUUGGAAAAGCUGGGGUGGCCUAAUGACCCUCAGUGCAAGCUAUGCAAUUCGGACCUGGAGACACCCACACACCUGUGCAAAGACUGCCCUUACACAACGGCAGUCUGUGACCGGCUGCAGGGAUGGUUUUCUCUUAACCACUUACCCCCAGGCAACACAUCGCUUUCGAUCCACAAGUGGUGGAAGAAAUGUAGGAGCAUGAUCGACAAAAGGAACAAAACUUUCUUUGACGGCCUCAUCAUAUAUUUCUAGUGGAACAUUUGGAAAGAGCGCAACAGACGAAUCUUUAAUCACGAAACCAAACUGGUGGAAGACGUCGCGUUCUCUAUCAAAGAAGACAUCCAACAGUUCCAGUUCGCCAAUAAAACGCAUGAAGCUCCCGCGGUUGAGCCAACCUAGCAGCAUUUUUCAUCUUUUAAAGUGGGGUUUUGAAGUGGAGCUCGUAGUUGUUGUUGUUUUUUCCUUUCUCCCUAGGGAGUGCUAUUUAGUUGGUGCAGUGAGAGCCAUGUACAUAGAGUUAUUUUUUGUUUUAUUUUCUUGUCUUGUUUGGUUUUACCUCUUCUAAUAAAAAUUCGGCAAAGCUUUUGCCGUCCGUUAAAGAAAACAUACAUUAUGAUAAUUUUAUAAAUUUUAAUGGAGACGGGGAUGCAUAUGAUAUACUCCCUCCAUCUAUAUUUAUAAGGCGUGGAAGGACUUAGCACGGUCUUCCAAAUAACACUUUGACCCUUUAUUUAUCUUAUAUUAUAGUAUUUAUAGUUAUAAACUUAUAAUCAUCGUAGAGUAUAUUUGAUUACGAAUCCAACUAUAUAAAUUUUGAAUUAUAAAAAUAAAAAAAUAAUAGUUAAAUUAUUGGUCAAAAAUUGUAAAGUUUAAAUCUUGAUAUGCGUGUGCGCCUUAUAAAUAAAAACGGAUGGAGCAUAUCCCCCAAAUGUUUCUAUAUAUUGUGGAACUCAACUUAACUGAAGGAUAUAAAGACAAGAUUUUCAUAGGAAAUCGAACCAUUUUAAGAGGCGGUUCACACGAGGGAUCUCCUAGGAUAAUGCUAUUUGUGCACAACCAUACCCUUACAUGAACCGUCUCUGGAACCAGAAAUCAUUCCGUUUUCACUUACGGCAGACACGAGUGUAAUGGAGCCGUACAGGUGCAGGAGGGCGAUCCCCAUCUAGACUUUAAUUUGGCCAUGUGGAAGUAGGACACACUAUCUCUAGCACCAGCACCAUGUGUAGUUGGUCCCCCGUGUAUGCAUCAAUGCUGCACCUAUCGACUGUGACCUGGCACCUAACCGGACAGUUGGUUACGGUAGCCAUUCUUGUGAUUUCACAACUCAAAGGCAUCGUUUAUCCUCCCUCUCCCUGCUGCUGCUCAUCCUCCCUUCACUGAACUACUUGUUGCAAUCAGAAGAAAGAUCAAUCGAGUUGAAGAGACAGAUCGGAAGCUAGUCAACGUUGAUUGGUUCGUGAGUGAUGUUAUGAUCCGUCCCUCUGUUAUAACCAUCCAACCCAGCUGGUGCAGAAGCUAAUUACCUGAAGCAAUAUAUUUGUAGAAACGAAUAGUAAUAUAUUUAUAGAAACGAAUAGUACUGGUUAGUUCACUUAUUUCUUUGCUCAAACUUAGCCGUUUGGCAAGGCUUCGUCUUGGGUUAAAAUGACUCCGGAGCUUCGGCUCAUCAAGCAACUUUUUAUAUCUCUAGCUCAUCCUAUUAAAAAAUAUUUGGUAAAAUGAUUUCUCCAAAUUAGUUUGAGGUUGAUAGAAAGAUAAAAUGUCCAAAAUACUCUAAGAACAUAUAUUUUUCAUUCCAUUUUUUUCUUUUCCAUCAUUCUUUUAUUCCAUCUACUAUUUUUUCCUUACGCUUUUUUUUUUGGCCAGGUGUGCCUUAUCCGCUUCGGCCCUUCCCACCAUGCCUUUUUUCCUAUUUCUUUUCUUGCCGAGCGUGCUUUAUCUCCUUCGUUGACUUCAGUAGCACCUGUUGCGUUCGAUGCUCGCGCGGCAGCCCGGGGACCUCGACCUCGCCCGCCUAGGAGCUCCAGCAGCCGGUCCGCUCCGCCGCCGGUGCGGCAACCACGCCGUCGUCAGACCGCCUCACGCGGCCACCGGUCGUCCCCGCGAUACACCGCCGCCGGUGCGCCGUGCGCGGCGGCGCUGUCCCGCCGCUCCGCCGCCUACCGUCGGCCUGCGCCACCACCAGCGCACCGGCAGCACCGCGAGCUGCCGCGCCGCCCCGACAUUGGUCCUUCCCGAGCCCGGUGUCGUCACCAGCGUCGCGGAGAGAAGGUAAGGGGAGUGGCAAUUUUGCAGUAGUUUUGACGAACUUGAGGAGCAAAGUUAAAGCACAUGGCUGUGGGGAAGAGGAGAAGCGGGGAAAGCUACUUUUUAUGACUCACGCUGCUCAGUUCGAUUUGAUGAUUGGCUUCACACCGGCUUUUCCUGUGAAGCCCUUUUCAACUCACCCGUUUGGUAGGGUUUGGCCUGAAGCCGGUUCAUAAGCGGGAGCCAGAGCCCUACCAAAACUAUUUGGUGAGACUAUGAGCCGUUUGGUUCUCUGACUUAUUUUUAGCACAUGUCACAUUGAAUGUUUAGAUACUAAUUAGGAGUAUUUAACGUAGACUAUUUACAAAACCAUUACACAGCUGGAGGCUAAAUGGCGAGACGAAUCUAUUAAGCCUAAUUAGUCCAUAAUUUGACAAUGUGAUGCUACAUUAAAUAUUUGCUAAUGAUGGAUUAAUUAGGCUUACUAGAUUCAUCUCGUCGUUUAGCCUCUAUCUGUGCAAUUAGUUUUAUAAUUAACUCAUAUUUAGUCCUCCUAAUUAGCCUCCAAAUAUUCGAUGUGACACGGACUAAACUUUAGCUCAAGGAACCAAACCUCGCAUAAAUUAGCUGCUUAUUCUGCUGGUUGCAUGCAGGAGAUCGAGCUGCGGGCACACGGCCGGAUCGGAGGAGGACAUAUCAGCCGGGUUCCUGUUGGUUGUGUACUUGUGUUCCUGCCAGCGGAGAAGCAACCAUGGCCGAGUUAGUGAUCGGGCCACUGAUCUCCAUGGUGAAGGAGAAGGCAUCCAGCUACCUGCUGGACCAAUACAAGGUGAUGGAAGGCAUGGAGGAGCAGCGCAAGACCCUGGAGCGCAUGCUGCCAGCAAUCCUGCAAAUCAUCCAGGAUGCGGAGGAGAAAGGAGCCUCCCGACGAGGAGUAGCAGCUUGGCUCAAACACCUCAAGACAGCAGCCUAUGAGGCCAACGACGUCUUUGAUGAGUUCAAGUACGAGGCGCUUCGGCGAGAAGCCAAGAAGAAGGGCCACCACAGCAAGCUUGGAG
rnacentral:lncRNA from 1 species